rnacentral:lncRNA from 1 species
UGGGGUUUUUUUGCAGAUUUUCAAACAAAACUCAGAGAUUCCUUGUAUGACUCUCUCAGAUCUCUCUUUUGUGGUAUUUCUGGAUCCUUACCAAGGCAGUGAGGGUAUAGGCCUUCUCUCAAGAUAUGUGGUAUUUAUGAUAUAAGGCAUAGUGACAUUGCCUUGUCUCUCAGCCUACUCUAAUAAGGCUUUAAUAUCUGGAGCUCAUAGGUGGGAGAUAAAAUAUACAUACUUAUAAGACAUUUAUUGCAUAGACAAACCAUGGAUCCAAAGAAACAAAUCAAUAAGCCAAAUCAAGAUGUGCAUGUGUGGCGAAUGAAUGGUGAUAACAAUGGUGAAAACAAUGAUGGAAACAAUGGUGGUGGAAGGCUAAUUCUACUUCUUUUGAGGGGAUACAUACCUUCCUUGCUUUUUGAAACUUUAUGAAGAGAAUGAGAUGCUCUAUAUUUUUCUUUUCUCUCAGGUGGGUAUCUUGUACCCCUAAUUCUACUGUCGGACACUUGUCCAUUUUUACCUCUCGUCUCGCUUUUUCUUUUCUUUUGAGGUUCCGAGCACUUGCUCCUUUUUAUUUCCUCGUAUUUUUCUUUUUUUUCUCUUUUAUUUUUUUUAGAGCACUCAUCUCUUGAGAUAAUAUAGCAAGUGGUAGUAACAAGAUAACUCGAGCAUUUAUUUCACAAGGAAGAACAAAAUUAUUUUUGGCUAUUCUCCCCCGGAUUAGGAGUAGAAUAUUUUUGGGUGAUUCUGCAGAUGGAAAUGUAUGGAUAUAUGUGGAUGGUACUUCCGGAGUCGAAGUAGCAUGUGUGAGUGAACGUGCAAGUGAAUCUUGAUUUAACCACAUGACAAGCUCCCAAGGGUCUACACAGCUUGACCACACUCCAUGCUCAUAAGCAGUAAAAAGUAAAUGUGUGGCUCGAAGUCUAGCAAGCAUGUAUAUAUGGCUGUGGUAGGAAUUUAAACUCUCAUCAUACAGGAACUCAUCAUGCAACAUUUUAAAGAUUUCCAAAGAUAAAAUUCUCCAGAAUUCUAGCAUCUCUAGAAACAGAUAAUCAGCAGCUCAACCUUCCCAUAUCGUAUCCGUUAACAACUUAGAUUUCAGAUCAAGUUUUCAUCCCACAAGUUUAGGUCUAGAGAAAGCUUUAAAUUAUAACAGUUAUGUCUAAACUUGAGAGAGAACUUAAAAUGUGCAAAUUAGGCAGAGCAACUAUUCAUCAUUUCCAUGCUUGAGUUUUAUUUAGAUACAGAUUAGCAUAGCCACUUUAUUUAUUUAUUAAACACACUAAGCAAAAGACAUGUAUAUAAGCAUAAAAUCUUUAUUUGGUUUUUCAUAGUUAUGUAUAUUUAUAUUCUAAAAUAAUAUAAGUAUAAAGAUAGAUAGAUAGAAAUACUUAUCGAGAUAAAUGGGGGUGCUCUCCCCCAAGCUGAAUUUUGACGUAAUUUCUCUUGAUGUAGCUAGCAGGUGGUAGAGGUGUAUUUGAAAGUCAGCAACAUUGUGACAGCGAUUAGAAUAUCCUCCGUCUACCAGUCUUCUUGAUUCUUAGAUUCUGUGGAGCUCAAAUAGACAACAAAGCUUGUGGAACUGAUUAAGUGUUAGCAUAAAUAUCUAGCCUUUAUCAUGUUGAGACUCCUUAAUAAUUAUUACUCCCUGUUUUUAUAUUUUUAUUUCAUAAAGCAGAAAAAUAUUUUUAUUUUAUUUUUAUGCCACCACAGUGAAUGUACUUAUGGGUUUUAUGGCACUCGUAUUCUCACAUGGGGCAUACUGUUUUUCACAUUUUUACUUUUUGUUUAGAACUUAAUUAACUAAGUGAACUACUUGAAAUAAUUGAAAGGGAAAGGAUAACUACCAAGUUUACCUCUUGGCAAGGCGUUCGGUGUUUUUAAGUCCUUCGAACGGGACUCUCCUCCUUCUCAAUUAUCCUGAGGUUCGUUGGGUGGCGUAGUCGGUACUUCCGGCAGCGCCUCCUCUUCAUGUAUAGUUAUCUUCAUUUUCCACACCUGACUUGGUGCUUCGGUCUCCUCUGGAUAAUUCUGUUUAAACUCAACGUCUUCUGACCUUACAACUUCUCCUUCGUAGUCUGCCUAUCCGUCCUUGAUGAUUUGCCUCCUCUGGUUGCGGUUGCGUCGUCUUCUUCUUGUCCUGACCUGCUUAGAAUCUUCAACUAUAUAGUUAGAAUCAUUAAAGUAAUGGCGUACCUUCUCAGAGGGGAAAUACACGUGGACUUCUCCGGUUCCAAUGUAGAUGAUAACUUUGAUAGUGUUGAGGAAUGGUCUUCCAAGGAUGAUGGGUGGAUCGUACUCGUCUUCUCCCAUGUCAAUGUUCUAAAAAUCAUUUGGAGCUAAAUAUAUAUUGGUUGUAGGGGCAUGGUUCCAUGCAGGAGCUGAUAAGUGACUGCGGGCAUUAUGUUGACGUUAGAUCCGGUGUCGUAGAGUGUUUUCUAAAAAGAGUAUCUGUUGGUUGUGCACUCGAUGCUUGGAACACCAGGGUCGUCCUUCUUGAUCAAGAAAGGUGACUUGAGUCGACGAUCUUGACCUCCUUGAGCUGUAGUGAACAUCUUAGCUGACUCGGUCCACAUUUGCUUGUUCCUGUUCCUCCUAUUGGUCCUCUUCCUUGGUUCAUGUCGGGAUUGCUCUGAAGUUUAUGUAGUCUUGUUCUUGAAGGAAAGUCUCCUUCUUCCCCUUGAUGUAGAGACUGAUCUUGGCAGCAUUAGCGUAGAUGACAGCUCUGGUGUUUUGGAAUGGCCUCCCUAAGAUGAUGGGUGCCCUCUCCUCAGUACCAGUCUCUAUCACCACGAAGUUUGCUGGAGCGUACAAGGUACCAACUUGGACACAUAGGUUCUUUAAUAUUUCCUUUGGGAAACUAAGUGUCUGAUCUCCAUUGUGUUUGUGCUCGUAGAUCCCGGUUCUUCACUUAAUGGAAUCUGGGAGUUGUAAAACGCCUUCACAUUUCUCAAAAUGUGUCCUGCUCAUAGAGACAAGGCAGAGAUCAAGUGCAUGGGCUCUGUUGGUGGAAAACACCAACAGAACCAAAAGUGUAUUUGUUCUUUUCUAACCUUAAGCAUAGUGAGCAAUACAAAGUUGAUGGAUCAUGAGUGUAGCAUUUAAAACAUUUGUUAGAUCAGAUGGCUCAACAUAAUGGAAAGAUAAUCUAUCUAUAUUUAUGUUUUGUUUUUAUCUUCCAAAGAUUGAAUGUGCAACAUAUUAGCUUAUAUGUUUAGGAGCGUGGGAUUACGAAGGUAGUACUAAGAACAAAGAUUAAGGGACUAAACAUGUUGAAUUAGUUAGGUUGGUUAAUUUAGAGUUAUAAAUCAUACAUGUUUGUCUCUUUAUUUAUGUGAACGCCAGAACCAAGGAGAAACUUAUAAAAGGAUAGUCAAGUACCUUAAGAUGUUACCUUUGAAGAGUGAUGGUAGAGUAUCACCUUGUAGAAGCUUUCCUUUCUAGCGGUUGUGCAUCGUGUUUGUGGCUGCUUCCAUGGAUCAUCUCUUAUGAGCUACGUCUUUCUUGUGCAAAUUGUUAAACUUCAUGUGUCACUUUCUUCAUCUCCAAUGUGAGUUUAUCUCAGGACUUCCCAGGUUGAUAUUGAAAGUUUUCCUGCAGGGGUUAGUCCCACAAAAUAUACCAAUGUCUACACAAGCAAUUUUUAGUUCGAUAACCGAACUAGACUCCAUGUCUAAUCAGAUUAAGGAAGACUGUUUAACCUAAGCACCAUGCUUAAUUUAAAAGCCAAUAGAAGUAUGUGCAGUACUUCCAAACUAACACUUACUAGGAUAAACAAAGGUAGCGUGAUGGCAUUUAUAGAGAUCUACUUAAGUGGAGAUGAAGUAGUGUGAUUAGUAUUUAACAAAUUGAGCAUGUCUCAAAGGUAAGGACAACCAACAUAGCAACAUGGCAAAGGAUUUUUUUAUGUGAAGUACUCCCCUAAGCUUGAAUUUUCCAAAAUUCAAGAUUGGAUGAAUUUAAUUCAAUGUUGCAUGUUGAUUGGUUGGGCAUACCUUGCGCUUGUCAUUCAUCCGGUCUUCUUGCUCCAAUCCUAGAAAGGUUAGUGACAAGAAUACCCGAAGGAAUAUUUCUACAAUUAUCUUACAUGCUCAAUACACAAGGUAAUGUUGCAAGUAAUUAGAAGUUCAUGUUACGAUCUGAUAAGUGCUUGUUUUAGGACACUAAGCUUGUCCUUGGGAAACCAUCAAUUAACUCGACAAGAUCUGCAAUAUUUAUUAUAGACAUAUGCAUCGACAACCGCUCUUUUAAAGUUUUUAUAAAUAGAAAAGAAGAGAGGGUUGGAGAUCUCAAAUGUGGUGAUAGCACAUGAAUUUUUAAUGCCCUCUAGCCAUUGAUGUUGCUCUUCUCGAUCCUCCUUCUUAUGCAUGGGAUGUCUAGAGAGAUUCAUAGGAUUAUCGGGAGGUUCAAGAGAAAGAGCAUAGUAGAGAUUAUUAUGCUCAAGGAUGGGUUGGAUAGCCGAAUCAUGGGAUUGGAAAGUUUGGAAAUCGGCUAUUGAAACUUCCUCUCCUUGUAUGGGAGAUGAUUCCUUCUCUACCUCUAUGAUUUUUCUAUGAAGACUAGUACAAGAAGGAUGUCCACGAAUGAAGACAUACCUUCCGUUACUAACUGAUAAAGAAAGAAGGACUCUACCAAAGGUUAUAUGAUUAAGACCAAUGUGAAAAUAUCUAGGAAAAACAUGGUCUUGCAGGGCUAGGUCUAAACCAGAAUUUAUAGAAAGAUUAACAGAUUCCCUAGGUGUAGCUAAAAGUGCAUUAUCUUCUUGAUUAAAAGAUAGGACCUCGGCUAUAGAAAAGGGUUGGUUUUGACAUAUUGCAAUCAACUCCGGACAAAGAUCAUAAUUAGGGGCAGGACGUGUUGACUCCCAUGGUCUAUGGCUGGUCUCUAAAGGUGCAAAGAAUUUAAUAAUAGUUAUGGAAUUUGAGAUAUCCAUAAAGAUAAAAGAAUAAAAGUAUAAAAGUAUAAUACAAGAUAAUAGCAAGACUCAAAGUUAUCUCAGCAAACCGUCUUUCUCCCCGGCAACGGCGCCAGAAAUGCUUGUUGAUAUUUGGUAACGCAAUAAGGAAAUGAUCCGCAAGCGCAUGGAUAUCGGUGAGCAUUUCACCCGGGAGGUUUUCUAGAGUAUCGUAUUUAUAUUUUUACCACUGGGAGAAAGGGUGCAUCUGACUAACCAAAUCUAUUGCUACUAUCCCUUUAGGCUACAAAGAAUGUCUCUCGAUGUGAGUGAUAAAUAGAGAAGACUGCAACCGUAGUCUCCUUCUAACCUUGGUAAGGAUGAUCUACUGUUCUAAUGGGGAGGCUAACGGAAUCUAGACACCACAAAGGAUGUUCAACCCGCACCUAUAAACCCUAUUCUUCCUGCUAACGAGAUGUGAUCUACAAAGGUAACUCGGAAUUGUCACGUUCCUCACUACUACCACGGUCCAGCUAGUCAGGGAAUAUCUAUGAGUACCCCAGCCUAAACACCACGUUUACGGCAGUAAUGAUUACUCUAAACUCUACGCGAAGAGAUUAAAGUAAACUCAUAAACCAUAAGGACAAUAAAACAAGAACUUACUAGAAUUUAGAAGUCGAAGUACUGAAGAAUCCUAGGAGCAAGCUUCGGGUUAGGAGAGCUUGAUCUCGUAGGUACAAGCUUGGAGUAGACACCGACAGGCCGGGCUUCCUCCAAUCUACACCUCCACUCUAUCUCUCUCAAUCUAGUAGAAACUAGAAGAUCUAUUUCUACCUUACAUUGGUUGCUAAGCCUAAAAAGAAAUAUUAAUUAGAGAAGAGGUUUUCCUUCGAGGGCACCCCUCAAUCUCUAUGAUAAUUUCUUGUCUUCUCCAGGGGCCAGGGGGGUCUCCUUAUAUAGUCCUCCUCCUCUAUGCGUUUUUGGGUCGGUAGGCGAGGAGGUACUAUGUUUUCCUUGAUCCAAUAGGUCGGUGGAACGUCGUGUGCGAAGAGAGUCCCGAAGGGCUUCCAGAGGUGGGCGGGCGCCCAGGUCACCAGGGCGGGCGCCCUGGGCCUGGCCCCUUUCGGCCUCCGCUUCCUUCUUGUGGCUUCUGGAGUCUUCUAGAUGGUAGAAAAUUGUGCGGUGCGUUGAUAUCUCUAUGUAAUCCCGACAUGUGGGCCUUUCUUCCUUAUUUCCUGAUAACCCCCCGCAGAAAUAGACAAACACCAAAACUCGUGGAAUUCUGUCAGAUAAAACCCUAAGUCUAGAUGUUGAUUUCAUUUGGAUCAUUUUCUUUGUUUAUUUGAUAAUUAAAUUUGAUACUUAAGGACCGUCAACACCACUGUCGACGAAAGCUAGUCGGCAGUCUACCUUGGGGUAUGCCCACGGUAGUAGUUUAUUGGUAGACGGUGCGCAAACUACGAACUCGAUGGUGACGCAAGACACGGACAAGCUUUUUAUCCAGGUUCGGCCACCGUGUGGGCGUAAUACCUUCGUCCUGCAUCUGAUUGUAUUGGAUUGAGAGAAUAAUGUGUCCUAGGGGGGUCCCUUGCCCCUCCUUAUAUAGUCCGGAGGGCAGGGUUACAAAUCUGGAAACUAAUCCUAGUCGGUUACAAUUGCCAUAGAUAGUUCGAUAUCAAUUCCUAUUCUAACCGACUAGAAUCCUGCUUAAUCUCCACGUCUUGUUUCCUUGCACGAAACUCCGAGGUGUCGGAUCAAGCCUCGAACUUGUCUCGUAAUGGGCCAAGCCUCCUGACCCAAGUCUAGCCGUAAGGGUAUAGGGGUUUAUACCCCCACAAGCCUCGAUCCAUUUGGAGAAUUUAUCGAUGGCUACCAGCAGAUGGGUGUACCCACCUGCUGCCUUCUGUAGAGGUCCUACUAGGUUGAGUCCCCACACCACGAACGGCCAUGUGAUGGGGAUCAUCUGGAGAGCGUGGACGGGCAGAUGCGUCUGCUUGGCAUAAAAUUGACAUCCAUGGCACGAGCGCACGAGCUCGAUGGCGUCAGCUAUGGCCGUUGGCCAGUAGAAGCCUUAUCGGAAGGUGUUCCCUACAAGGGUCCGCAGGGCAGCAUGGUGGCCACAAGCCCCCGAGUGUUGAUCCUCGAGGAGCUUCCGGCCUUCCUCUAUGGUGAUGCAAUGCUGCAAGAUCCCUGUCGGGCUUCGUCGGUAUAGCUCAUUGCCUUCACCGUAGAUUACAUAUGAUUUGGCCCGUCGAGCGAUACGGCGGGCCUCGGAUCAAUCUUCUGGUAGCUCGCAGCAAAUUAGGUAGUCGAGGAAUGCCGUGCGCCAGUCGAACGAUCGACCGGGUUGCCGUUCUGCCUCCAUCACCUCUGCCGCCGCUAGCAGGGCUUCAACGGCGUCGGCUUGUUGGGGGCGGCGGUUUCGACGUCAGCCCCCGAGCCCAACUCGACAGAUGGCUCGUGAAGAUCUCUUGAGAAUGCGUCAGGCGGGACCAUGCCUCGAGUCGAGGCGAUCUUGGCGAGUUCGUCGGCCACCACAUUAUAGCGUCGGGCGAUGUGGACGAGUUCGAGACCGUGGAACUUGUCUUCGAGUCGGCGUACCUCCUUGCAGUAUGCCUCCAUUUUUGGGUCGUGGCAGUUGGAGGCCUUCAUCACUUGGUCGAUGACGAGUUGGGAGUCACCUCGAACGUCGAGGCGUCGAACCCCUAGCUCGAUGGCGAUCUUCAUACCGUUGACAAGGGCCUCGUACUCCGCGACGUUGUUGGAUGCGGCAAAGUGUAUUCUGAUGAUGUAUCUCAUAUGAAUGCCGAGGGGUGAGAUGAAUAGCAGACCCACCCUAGCUCCCGUCUUAAUGAGGGACCCGUCGAAAUACAUCGUCCACAGCUCUGCCUGAACUUGAGCCGGGGGGAGCUGGGAGUCCGUCCAUUCCGUGACGAAAUCCACCAGAGCUUGAGACUUGAUGGAUUUACGAGGCGCAUAAGUGAGGGUUUCACUCAUGAGCUUGAUCGACCAUUUGGCGAUUCUUCCUGUGCCCUCCCUAUUUUGGAUGAUCUCUCCCAAGGGGAAGGCUGAGACCACCGUGAUGGGGUGGCCGAGGAAGUAAUGUUGCAGCUUGCAUCGGGUGAGGAUCACAGUGUAGAUCAGCUUCUGGAUUUGCGGGUAUUGUGCCUUGGUCUCUGAGAGCACCUCACUGACGAAAUAGACCGGCCUCUGGACUGACAGCGCAUGCCCCUCCUCCUGCCUCUCGACCACUACUGCCGCACUGACGACCUGGGUCGUCGAGGCGACGUAUAGUAGCAGGGGUUCUGCGGGUCAAGGUGGGACUAGGACUGGUGCAGAGGUCAGUGUUUUCUUCAAGUUGUCGAGGGCUUCCUCGGCCUCGGGGGUCCAAGAGAAACGCUCGGCUUUUUUCAGGAGCCGAUAUAGUGGCAAUGCCUUUUCCCCCAACCUCGAGAUGAAACGACUUAGCGCCGCCAAACAUCCUGUGACCUUUUGCACUCCUUUGACGUCUCAGAUCGGCCCCAUUCUUGUGAUGGCUGAGACUUUCUCGGGAUUGGCCUCGAUGCCGCAUUGGGAGACUAUGAAUCCUAGGAGCAUGCCUCGAGGGACACCAAAGACGCACUUCUCGGGAUUGAGCUUGAUCUUGUUGGCACGUAAGCAACUAAAAGCGAUCUCGAGGUCCUGAAUCAGGUCUCCUCGUUGCUUUGUCUGGACGACGAUGUCGUCGACGUAUGCCUCGAGUGUUGACCCGAUAUUUUUGCCAAAUACGUGGAGCAUGCAGCAUUGGUAUUUGGCUCCCGCGUUUCAAAGCCCGAAUGGCAUGGUCACAUAACAAUACAUCCCGAAAGGCAUGAUGAAAGAUGUCGCGAGCUGAUCGGACUCUUUCAUUUUUAUUUGAUAGUAACCAGAAUAUGCAUCAAGGAAAGAAAGGGUUUCACAUCCCGCAGUAGAAUCAAUGAUUUGAUCGAUACAUGGUAGUGGAAAAGGAACUUUCGGACAAGCUUUAUUUAAACAUGUAUAAUCGACACACAUCCUCAUUUUCCCAUUCUUUUUCUUAACUAGUAUAGGAUUUGCUAACAAGUCGGGAUGGUGAACCUCCUUGAUGAAUCCGGCCAUCAAAAGCUUGUGGAUUUCCUCGCCAAUGAUCCUGCACUUCUCCUCGUCGAAGCGACGCAGCCACUGGUUCACUGGCUUGGAACCGGCUCGAAAUUCCAAGGAGUGCUCGGCGACUUCCCUCGGUAUGCCUGGCAUGUCCGAAGGACUCCAUGCAAACAUGUUGGCAUUUGCAUGGAGAAAGUCGACGAGCACGGCUUCCUAUUUGGGGUCGAGGUCGGCACUGAUUGUCAGUACCUUGCCGUCGGAGUUGUCGGGGUCGAGCGGGAUCUUCUUCGUUCCUUCCGCCGGCUCGAAGCUGCCCGUGUGACGUUUGGGCUCUAGGGCUUCCGCGGCCAAGGCCUCGAGCUUCGAGGCGAGCUCGGUGGAGUUCUCGACAGCUUCCCCAUACUCGAUGCACUCAACAUCGCACUCGUACGCAUGCUCGUAGGAGGAGCUGACGGUGAUGACCCCCUUUGGCCCGGACAUCUUCUGCUUCAAGUAGGUGUAGUUGGGGAUAGCCAUGAACUUGGCAUAGCCCGGGUGUAACAUCCCCGAUGUUACGAACACUAAAAGCGGAUCAUGUCAUCAUAUGCAUUGCAAAGCAUAUUUGUUAAGCACAUUAUUAUGCAUCAACUUAAAACAAGUUUAUUUUGAUUGCUUGUGCUUAGGGGAGUAGAGUGUGCUUAUGUUGUGUGUUGAUGCUUGCUAAAACCCUAGGGUGGAAGUUUUUCAAAAAGCUAAGGGGGGGAAACCCUGAUUUCUGGAUCCUAGAAUUGCCCCCUUUUGCACAACUUAGAAACUAAGCAAAAUUUGAGGUUGAGUUCAAAAGCAAAGUUGUAGAUCUUGUUAAGGUGUACAACUUUGGUGUUUUGAGUUUUUGAAGUUUCAAUAAAAAAUUCAAAGUAAUUUUGCAAAUACAGAUUUCCAGAAAAUGUCCCCUUUUCCAAUUUAAACCUCCAAUUCAAAAUCCAUUUGGAAUUUUGAAAAGUGGUCAACAUGAAAGUUGUAGAACACAAAAAGUUGAGCAACUUUCAUGUUGGGAAUUUUUCAAGUUGUUUAGGAAAAACAAAAGUAAUUUUGGAAAUUCUGAUCUGCCCCAAUUCAAACCAAAUUUGCCCCAAAUUGAAUUUUCGAAUUUCAAACUGUUUCCCCUAAAUUCAUGCCCUUACACUCAAAAUCAGUUCUGGACUCUUAAAUAUGUUUUGUAGCUUAUAAAAUUUGGAACAACUUUUGUUUUGACACAAAUUUGACUCCAGUUCAAAUUUCGGGCGAAUUUUACAAAACUACAAACUGUGGAUGAGGAUUGCUACAGUGUUCGGCAGGGGGGGGGUGCUCUGCCGCCGCGGCAGAGCCGCCUCCGCGCGCGACGCCACACAGCUGGCCACGCAGCUGCUUGCUGCUGUGCUUCGCGCGGACGUCCUCAUCCGCAUCGCAGGCGCCGUCGCGUGGAUAAAGCCUCGGGUGGCCGGGACUUUCUUUUCUUCUUCCUGAACCUCGACGCCGACGAGCUCCCUGUGCCUCCCAAUUUUGCCUCACCCGUUGCCUUUCCAAGCCCUUUGAGCACGCCAGCAGCUCCGCCUUGAGCUCCGCCACCGGUUGCACCCCCGAACACAAGCUCUAACCUACCAGCGCCCUCUACCGAGCCGUCCCUCUCCAAUUCCGGCCAAGGCGCCGCCGCGGGCAUACCACCAUGGCCAGUGUCACCCCAGCUCUCUCCGCUGCUGCUUUUCGCUCGGCUGAAGUUGUGGUGAGCUUCUAGUGCUUUUGCGCUACUCCUUGUGCGCUAUACUCGCCUGUGGUGGCCAGCGUGUGCUCGGCCGCGGCGGCCAUCCGCCAUGAGCGUGAACAGGGAGGGUAGGAGGGAGUAGGGGUGGUCUCGUGUGUCCUAGGGACUGCGCGAGAAGCCGGAGAUGCUAACCCACCCCGCCGCGCAGACCGGGAGCUCACCGGCGCGGAGCCAGGGCUCACCGGAGCAGUGGUGAGAGGUGGAAGACGCCUCUGACGAGCGGGACCCGCUCGUCAGCGGCCGUGUGAGAGAGAGCAGCGCCAGCGCGCGCAGGCCGCGCGGGAGAGCGCUCGCGGGCUGACUUGGGCCAAGUCCAAGCAGGCCGCCCGCACGCCAGAGUGCCUUUUUCUUUUUCCUUUUUGUUUAAAUAUGCUGAAUGUUUGAAUUUGUGUAAUAAAUUGGGUGAUGAUCCAAAAAUGAUGAGAAUUUUUGUAUAGACUCCCUGAAAUAUGUAGAACCAUAGAAAAAUAUUAGGUUCUGUGUUUUUGACAGUUUGCAAGGGUAUAAAAAUUGGCUCCUUUAAUUAGCAAAUAAAACUUGUAUGAAUUUUAAUAAUUUAUUUGUAUGUCCAAAAAUCACCAAAAUUUGUGGGGAGCCUCUGAAUAUGAUUCCCUGGCUCCACCCAAAAUUUGGUGGCAUUUGGAUAAUGUUUGAAUAAAAUAUUAAUAAACCCUUAUUUAGUAAUUAAAUAAUAAUUCCAAAAUAGUUAAACAACGAUUAGUUAAUUGCUCAGGAUUAGGAUUUGGGUGAUUUUGGAUUAUGUGAUGACCUGAGGUCAUUAACCCUAAUGACCUUUGGCAUUUAAUUAUUGUUUGGCCUUAAUGCUUAAUUAUUGUCAUUAGUAGUUAUUUAAGAGUUAAUUGAGGUAAAUAGGAUUAAUAAUUAGUUAAUUUAAGAUAAUUAUGAAUUAAGAAAUAUUCUAAUUUACAGAUGCAACCUCUUGGGUAAAAACACUAAAAUAGUAAACAACGUUAAUUAAUGUUUAUUCUGUGUUGCUCCGAGAAGGGAAGUUGUACUCGACUUGACCCUUCUUGCAUAUUUGUCAUACGCACAUCAUGAGCAUUCAUCGUUUUGCGUAUAGUAUCCGUGACCGAAGGAGCGCCCGUUGAACCGAACCCCGAGGUCGGUGCUCCGUUCGAGGAAGUCGGAUCCGAGACUUGGGAAGUCUCCGAGGGUCCCUCUCUGCCCUGCAACCAAGGCAAGCCCCGGAUGCAUUAACCCUCCUUGAAUGUUUUAAAUCUUUUAUCACUUAUGAAUUGAAAAUGCUGCAUUAGGUAGUUGAGAAUUGGGUUAACCUACUUGCUGCAUUUACUACCUUGAUAUCUGUUAUCCUGUCCUUGACACCUGUUUAUUUAAAACUGCGUAGUAAUGCUUAGCCCUGCUACUAGAUAGGUUUUCAAAUAAGAAAGUUUGAAGGGUUGUUGUGGAAUACAUUUAUGAUCAAUGAUGUUUUAAUCUGAGACCGGUCGGUGGACUUGCUUUAAGAAUGGAGUCUUAAAGUAGUGUCUCCAACUGUGUCGGUUAAGGACCGGUCCGUUGAUGGCCCGCUGGGUUGAGAAUUUAUAGUACUAGCCACUUGCCCUCGGUAAGCCCGGUCUUGUGAUCCCUCGACGCGAACAGCUACUCGCGCACUGGGAGUGGAAAGAUGGCGAGAGUAGUGUGUACCCACCUUACGGAUCUGAGAUGACCGGAAAACAUCUAGAUCGGCUGUAGGAUGGUGGAGUACUGUGCUCUCGGGUGCCGCGAACCUGGUCAAAUUUGGGGAGAGCUUGAUUUGGGUUGACAUAUGCAAGAUUUGGUUCUACAUAUGUCGGGUGGUUAGGAACUCCAGCUGGAUUGCUAAGCGGUUCGAAUCGUCGUUGCUCCCCGAUUGGGAGACUCAAUCCACUGCCCCUCAUCGUAGUUAAUUAUGUAACUAAAUGGUAAAAUGAGAAAGGGGGAAAUGUCUCAUGAGGUUUGGAUCCCAAUUCUCGGACUCAUAGCGACAUGAAGCUAUGGCCAUCAAAUAAAUAAUACUUUAUUUUAGGACUAGGGACUCACAGACUCAUCUGUGGGGAGACAACUAGUUAGACUGUCCUCGAACUCCUCGGCCUCUGCGGGAGGGGAAUUGCGCGGGUAAAACUUGAAAGUAAGGAUGCACUAUUAGUAAGCUUUAUGGCAAAACACUGUGGCUCCCUGCUCAGCCACUCCUCGCCUACCCUAAGCCUGCAUUCCUAAGUUCUCCUCUUUUCCUGCUGGAUAAGUCUUGUUGAGUACUCCCGUACUCAGGGUUCCAAUACCCCUGUUACAGGUGAAGCUCAGGAGCCGACUUGUUUCGGACCCUGUUGUGUGACCGUCGUCGAGGUGGACAACGAAGAAGAGUGAGCGUGACCCAUGGGCAGGGUCUGUAAAUUUGUAAUCUCUGUUCUAAAGUUUAAGUUGCUCCGCUGGACCUGGUUUGUAAUAACACUCUGCUAUUUGGAAGAACUCCUUCUGUAAAAUAAGUUAUGUAAUACUUCCGCUGUUUUACUCUGAAAUAUUAUUUUGGCCGUAUGUCGUUUGUGGUACUGCAAUGGCUUCGCAACGAAUGAUCCUGGUGAUAAGGUGGCCACUUGCUAUCCUGUAAGGGCGAGAAGAAGAAGUUCUCGUUAAUUGACCAUCACCAGUGGUCAGGACGAGCCGGCUUGGCACGCCACAGGUAGCAGUGGAAUGAGCAUCCAACAAUGCUCAUCGGACUUCUAAAGUGGGAGGAUCCCCGGCAUCGCCGUCAGAGGUCCUUAGGACAAUGACAGGUGCCGGUGGGCCCAAACACUUAGGGGGUUCAGCCACAGUUGGUAUCAAAGAGCAGCGCCAGCGCGCGCAGGCCGCGCGGGAGAGCGCUCGCGGGCCGACUUGGGCCAAGUCCAAGCAGGCCGCCCGCACGCCACAGUGCCUUUUUCUUUUUCCUUUUUGUUUAAAUAUGCUGAAUGUUUGAAUUUGUGUAAUAAAUUGGGUGAUGAUCCAAAAAUGAUGAGAAUUUUUGUAUAGACUCCCUGAAAUAUGUAGAACCAAAGAAAAAUAUUAGGUUCUGUGUUUUUGACAGUUUGCAAGGGUAUAAAAAUUGGCUACUUUAAUUAGCAAAUAAAACUUGUAUGAAUUUUAAUAAUUUAUUUGUAUGUCCAAAAAUCACCAAAAUUUGUGGGGAGCCUCUAAAUAUGAUUCCCUGGCUCCACCCAAAAUUUGGUGGCAUUUGGAUAAUGUUUGAAUAAAAUAUUAAUAAACCCUUAUUUAGUAAUUAAAUAAUAAUUCCAAAAUAGUUAAACAACGAUUAGUUAAUUGCUCAGGAUUAGGAUUUGGGUGAUUUUGGAUUAUGUGAUGACCUGAGGUCAUUAACCCUAAUGAAAAUUGGCAUUUAAUUAUUGUUUGGCCUUAAUGCUUAAUUAUUGUCAUUAGUGGUUAUUUAAGAGUUAAUUGAGGUAAAUAGGAUUAAUAAUUAGUUAAUUUAAGAUAAUUAUGAAUUAAGAAAUAUUCUAAUUUACAGAUGCAACCUCUUGGGUAAAAACACUAAAAUAGUAAACAACGUUAAUUAAUGUUUAUUCUGUGUUGCUCCGAGAAGGCAAGUUGUACUCGACUUGACCCUUCUUGCAUAUUUGUCAUACGCACAUCAUGAGCAUUCAUCGUUUUGCGUAUAGUAUCCGUGACCGAAGGAGCGCCCGUUGAACCGAACCCCGAGGUCGGUGCUCCGUUCGAGGAAGUCGGAUCCGAGACUUGGGAAGUCUCCGAGGGUCCCUCUCUGCCCUGCAACCAAGGCAAGCCCCGGAUGCAUUAACCCUCCUUGAAUGUUUUAAAUCUUUUAUCACUUAUGAAUUGAAAAUGCUGCAUUAGGUAGUUGAGAAUUGGGUUAACCUACUUGCUGCAUUUACUACCUUGAUAUCUGUUAUCCUGUCCUUGACACCUGUUUAUUUAAAACUGCGUAGUAAUGCUUAGCCCUGCUACUAGAUAGGUUUUCAAAUAAGAAAGUUUGAAGGGUUGUUGUGGAAUACAUUUAUGAUCAAUGAUGUUUUAAUCUGAGACCGGUCGGUGGACUUGCUUUAAGAAUGGAGUCUUAAAGUAGUGUCUCCAACUGUGUCGGUUAAGGACCGGUCCGUUGAUGGCCCGCUGGGUUGAGAAUUUAUAGUACUAGCCACUUGCCCUCGGUAAGCCCGGUCUUGUGAUCCCUCGACGCGAACAGCUACUCGCGCACUGGGAGUGGAAAGAUGGCGAGAGUAGUGUGUACCCACCUUACGGAUCUGAGAUGACCGGAAAACAUCUAGAUCGGCUGUAGGAUGGUGGAGUACUGUGCUCUCGGGUGCCGCGAACCUGGUCAAAUUUGGGGAGAGCUUGAUUUGGGUUGACAUAUGCAAGAUUUGGUUCUACAUAUGUCGGGUGGUUAGGAACUCCAGCUGGAUUGCUAAGCGGUUCGAAUCGUCGUUGCUCCCCGAUUGGGAGACUCAAUCCACUGCCCCUCAUCAUAGUUUAUUAUGCAACUAAAUGGUAAAAUGAGAAAGGGGGAAAUGUCUCAUGAGGUUCGGAUCCCAAUUCCCAGACUCAUAGCGACAUGAAGCUAUGGCCAUCAAAUAAAUAAUACUUUAUUUUAGGACUAGGGACUCACAGACUCGUCUGUGGGGAGACAACUAGUUAGACUGUCCUCGAACUCCUCGGCCUCUGCGGGAGGGGAAUUCGUGGGUAAAACUUGAAAGUAAGGAUGCACUAUUAGUAAGCUUUAUGGCAAAACACUGUGGCUCCCUGCUCAGCCACUCCUCGCGUACCCUAAGCCUGCAUUCCUAAGUUCUCCUCUUUUCCUGCCGGAUAAGUCUUGUUGAGUACUCCCGUACUCAGGGUUCCAAUACCCCUGUUACAGGUGAAGCUCAGGAGCCGACUUGUUUCAGACCCUGUUGUGUGACCGUCGUCGAGGUGGACGACGAAGAAGAGUGAGCGUGACCCAUGGGCAAGGUCUGUAAAUUUGUAAUCUCUGUUCUAAAGUUUAAGUUGCUCUGCUGGACCUGGUUUGUAAUAACACUCUGCUAUUUGGAAGAACUCCUUCUGUAAAAUAAGUUAUGUAAUACUUCCGCUGUUUUACUCUGAAAUAUUAUUUUGGUCGUAUGUCGUUUGUGGUACUGCAAUGUCUUCGCAACGAAUGAUCCUGGUGAUAAGGUGGCCACUUGCUAUCCUGUAAGGGCGAGAAGAAGAAGUUCUCGUUAAUUGACCAUCACCAGUGGUCAGGACGAGCCGGCUUGGCACGCCACAGGUAGCAGUGGAAUGAGCAUCCAACAAUGCUCAUCAGACUUCUAAAGUGGGAGGAUCCCCGGCAUCGCCGUCAGAGGUCCUUAGGACAAUGACAGGUGCCGGUGGGCCCAAACACUUAGGGGGUUCUGCCACAGCUGGUAUCAGAGCAUUCGUUGCUAAGAUGACUGUUGUACCUCUUGAAAAACUUCAAAAUUCCUUUGGAUCCAAUACUAUAAACUGAUCUACUUUGAGUCCAAGUGCUUAGUCCUAACUUACCCCUGUCUAUAGGCCUCCUUAGAAUUUUUGAAGUGGUAUGGAGGAGCAACAUAGAGUAUUGCCCUAUGUUGUAAAAUUUUAAAGUAAUAUUGUUGCAAAUCGUUGGUAGGGAUCGUAAGUUCGUGCAUGCAUCAUGAUGUAUUAACUGGUUAAGUUUCCUUCCUCCUUGUUCGGGUUGGGUGAAUAGAACCAAACCUAUUCUUGCUAACCUUUAAGGUCUCUCUUACUAAUCUAAACUUACCCUCUACAGGAUGGCUCGUCAGAAGCAGACCCCGCGUAAGAGGACAGGUCCAAAAGGAGUUCCCCGACAUCAGUUGGCUCCACGCAGUGAUCAAGCCAGCAGUAGCCGUUCACCGCCUCAGCCGGAGGUGGACAGGUUGUCCGCCGAGUUGACUGAGGUGAUGAGAGAAAGAAUGUACAAUGUUAUGGAGAUCGGCAAACUCAAAGCUCAACUAGCCAAAGAAAAACAAGCUACAGAGAACUGUGAAGCCAUGUUGUCCCGUAUGGUGGAGGAGAGGAAUGCCGCCGUUGCCCGAGAAGAAGCUAGGAGCGCACACAGGCAUGAGCUGACUAGGAUGAAUGCGAAGCUGGGCAAGGCCAGAUAUCUUAAAGAUUUGUACGUGAAGAUGGCGGCCACGGUCACCGUGCAGCGGGAUGUCGCGUGGCAGCGAGAGGACCAGCUCCAGUUGGAGAAGCUAGAGCUGGCACAUCACUUAGAUACCGUCAAUGACUUGGCAAUGCAAUAUCGUGAUAUUGCAUUUGAUCUAUAUCAUCAGCUCCACCCACCUCCAGGCGAAGGAGAAAUGGAUACGGAUGGCGAGUUGGCAGACGAGGGGGAACCCGAUCUAGGCCUCAGUGAUGAAGAGGAGUCCGAUCCCGAUGACAACAAUCCAGGGGGUAAUCAGGAUGAUGGCAACGACGACCUGGGCUACAGCUCUGGCCACACCGAUUAGUUCGGUGAAACCGCGGGCAACGUCGUUGUAGGAGUCCUAGCUUGCCGUAGUGGGGUUCGGUUUUGUAAUAUAAGUUCUCUUUCGGUUUGAGAAGUUGUACUUGGUUGUACCUGGUGUGUUGAACUAAUGUUUAUUGAAUGAAUGGAAGAAUGUAAGAUAUGUUCUACGUUAUGAAGUUCAUGUGGUGACAAGUACCUAUGAUUCUUGUAGCAGAUGCCGAUGCGUACACGCGGAUCUGAUGGAGCUGGGACAUCUCAGGGAGGGGAUGAUAUCCCCAACCCUCCACCUGCUCCACCUUCUUUGGCCGAGGCCAAUGCUGUUUUGUUGAAUGCUACUACUGACAACGCUCGCUUGCUGCGCGAGCUAGCACAGCGUCAACCACACCCCGCCCCAAACUUCAGGGCACCGCGCAACGGGGACGGAGAGACUCGGUAUGUGGACUUUACCGAGACCAGGCCCCCGGUGUUCACUAAGGCCGAUGAGCCUUUAGAAGCGGAUGACUGGCUCCGGACCAUGGAGCACAAGUUCAGUUUGAUUCAGUGUUCAGAAACUCAGAAGCCCCUGUUCGCAGCUCAGCAGCUUCGGGGAGCUGCGGGUGCCUGGUGGGAGAACUUCUUAGCUAUCCAAGCUCCCGGACACCAAGUCACCUUGACUGAGUUUAAGGACGCGUUCCGCGCCCAUUACAUCCCCGAAGGGCUCAUGGCCAUGAAGGCCGAAGAGUUUCUCGCCUUGCAGCAAGGCGAUAUGAGUGUCAUGGAAUACGUGGCAAAGUUUAAUCAUCUCUCUCAAUAUACCACAGACCAUGUGAACACUGACAGAAAGAAGAAAGCCUGCUUCAUGUGUGGUCUAAAUACUAAACUUCAGACCAUGAUGACCACCUGCCAAAAUGCUACCUUCUAUGAGGCGGUAAAUAUUGCCAUCGCCUCUGAAGAAAAAAAUAGGAAGCAUAAAGAAGCCAAGAAGAAGGCUGCUUCUUCCUCCUUCUCUGGUCGCGGUCAAAAGCGCCAGAGAAUCAUUUAUCACCCGCAGGGCCACGGACGCUUCCAAGCGCCGUCACCUUAUCGUGGUCCUUUCUCCCCUCCACUGUAUAGACCAGGGCAGCAGGUAUACUCUCGACCUACUGCCAUCGCUCUUGCACCACGCCAGCCGAACGCCCUAGGUGUUCGCCCCACUGCUCCGCCCAGCCACAAUUACCCUUGUUUCAAUUGUGGUAAGCCUGGGCAUUUCUCUAAAGAAUGCCCUUUCCCCCGCCAAACCAACCCUACCUUCCAAAGGCCACCUAUGGGCCAACCCUAGCCGGGACAAUUCAGGACUGGGGUUCAGAAAGGACAACCUGUGCAAAAGGGAAAACCAGCAAAGAAGGUGGGACAAGUCUUCCAUACGGAGGUGGAGACGAUUCCGGAGGGUGAACCAGUAAUGAUGGGUACGUUUCCUGUUGCGAAACAUCCUGCUUUAAUGCUUUUUGAUUCUGGUGCAUCUCAUACAUUCAUCAACCGCACCUUUGUAUUAAAGCAUGGCAUACCCAUUGGGGAAACACAAGAUCAUUUUUAUAUACAGUCGCUAGGAGGACGACUGAGCUCUAAAGAAAUGGUUCACCAGGUACCCAUCGAAUUUGGUGGGCAUAGUUUUCCCACUAGCAUGAUUGUUCUUAAAGACCAGGAGAUUGAUGUCAUACUAGGCAUGAACUGGAUGGCACAACGAGGGGUUGUGCUAGACACUUUGCAUCGCACCAUUAAAAUACCAUUGCCCAAUGAGCAUUCUUAUUUGCUAAUUCAAUUAGUUACUCCAGAGCGGACAAGUGGGCAAGUUCAUGCCACUAAUGUGUCUGAAGUCAAAGAUAUCCCGGUAGUUCGAGAUUUUCCGGAUGUAUUCCCUGAAGAUCUACCAGGUCUGCCUCCGGACCGGGAUGUACAAUUCAGUAUAGAAUUGAAACCAGGGACAGCCCCAAUAUCUCGAAGGGCCUACAGAAUGGCACCGAAAGAGCUGGCUGAAUUAAAAACCCAAUUACAAGAGUUGUUACAGAAAGGUUUUAUUUAGCCCAGUUCUUCUCCAUGGGGUUGCCCAGCCUUGUUUGUGAAAAAGAAAGAUCAAACAUUAAGGCUGUGUGUCGAUUACCGUCCUCUAAAUGAGGUGACGAUUAAGAACAAGUACCCAUUGCCCCGUAUUGACUUACUGUUUGACCAGCUAGCCGGGGCCAAAGUGUACUCAAAAAUUGAUUUGAGAUCAGGGUACCACCAAAUUAAAAUUAGGCCAGAAGAUGUGCCCAAGACAGCUUUUACAACCCGUUACGGGUUGUAUGAAUACUUAGUGAUGUCUUUCGGAUUAACUAAUGCACCGGCCCAUUUCAUGUACCUGAUGAACUCUGUCUUCAUGCCAGAACAAGACAAAUUUGUCGUCGUCUUUAUUGAUGACAUCUUGAUCUACUCCAAGACUAAGAAAGAACAUGCUGAACAUUUGAGAAUCGUGCUGACCCGUCUCAGGGAGCAUCAGCUAUAUGCCAAGUUCAGCAAAUGUGAGUUCUGGCUGGACAAAGUCCAUUUCCUGGGUCACGUGUUGUCAGCUGAGGGGGUCGCUGUAGACCCAGGCAAAGUAGAAGAUGUGUUGAAUUGGAAACCCCCGACUACGGUACAUGAGGUCCGUAGUUUUCUGGGUAUGGCGGGAUAUUACCGUCGUUUUAUUCCGGACUUUUUAAGAGUCGCCAAACCAAUCACGACCUUGCUCAAAAAUCAAACAAAAUUUGUUUGGUCACCUCAAUAUGAACAAGCCUUUCAGACUCUGAAAAGAUUAUUGACAACUGCACCUGUCUUAGCCCAGCCAGACAUUGAAAAACCCUUUAAUGUGUAUUGUGACGCAUCAGGGAUAGGCAUAGGCUGUGUGCUAAUGCAGGAGGGUCGCGUAAUUGCAUAUGCUUCCAGACAGCUCAAACCACAUGAAGAGAAUUACCCGACCCAUGAUCUAGAACUAGCCGCCGUGGUACAUGCAUUAAAGAUCUGGCGUCAAUACCUGUUGGGGAACACAUGUGAUCUAUACACUGAUCACAAAAGCUUGAAGUAUAUCUUUACUCAAGCUGAGCUUAAUAUGCGCCAGCGAAGGUGGCUAGAAUUAAUUAAAGAUUACGACCUUGAGGUGCAUUAUCACCCUGGCAAGGCAAAUGUAGUAGCUGAUGCCCUCAGUCGUAAGGCUCACUGUAAUUGCUUAACAGUGACGCCUAGGGAUAUAACUUUGUGCCAAGAGCUAGAAAACUUGGGGAUAGAAAUGAUUUCCCAAGGAAGCCUUGCCAAUCUAAAGAUUGAUUUCAAUCUCGAAGCUCAAAUCAUAGAGGCACAAAGAGAGGACAAAGGCAUGAAACAUCUUAAAGAGAAGAUUUCUAAUAGAGCACCCACAGACUUUAAGGUGGAUGAUGCGGGAGUAAUCUGGUUCAAGAACCGGUUAGUGGUUCCAAAGGUACCUGAGCUACGUCAACAAAUCCUGGAUGAAGCUCAUACCACGAGGUAUUCUAUUCAUCCGGGAAGCAAUAAGAUGUAUCAGGACCUAAAACAGAGGUUUUGGUGGACAAAAAUGAAAAUAGAAAUAUCUCGCUAUGUGGCCCAAUGUGACACCUGUCGAAAAGUCAAAGCUAUUCAUCUCAAAUCUGCUAGUGAGUUGCAACCUUUGCCUAUUCCAGCCUGGAAAUGGGAUGACAUAAGUUUGGAUUUCAUAGUGGGAUUGCCCAAGACAACCAAAGGCUUUGAUUCAAUUUGGGUCAUCGUAGAUCGUCUCACCAAAACAGCACACUUUUUACCUGUAAAGAAAUCGUAUCAUACUUCCACCUAUGCUCAGAUUUAUUUUGAUCGUAUUCUAAGUCUGCAUGGGGUGCCAAAGACAAUAGUGUGAGAUAGAGGCACACAAUUUGUCUCCCAAUUCUGGAAAUGUUUACACGAAUCCUUGGGUACCAAACUUUUAUAUAGCACAGCCUACCACCCUCAAACAGGUGGGCAAACUGAAAGGGUGAAUCAAACCCUAGAAGAUCUAUUAAGAUCUUGUGCCCUGAAUUUUCCAGAUAAGUGGGAUGACUGCUUGCCUCUAGCCAAAUUUUCUUACAACAAUAGCUACCAAGAGAGUAUCAAGAUGGCUCCCUUUGAGGCACUGUAUGGUCGUCGAUGUCGAACUCUGUUACAUUGGUCGGAACCUGGGGAAAGAUGGUUCUUCGGAGUUGACUUAGUGAAAGAGACUGAGAACAAAGUGAAACAAAUCCAAAAUAACUUGAAAGUUGCUCAGUCCCGACAGAAAAGUUACGCUAAUAAAAGACGUCGACCAUUAAAGUUCGUCAAAGGUGAUCAUGUGUAUUUGAAAGUAUCCCCAAUGAAAGGAGUAAAUCGUUUUGGUGUUAAAGGCAAGUUAGCGCCCCGUUACAUUGGUCCAUUUCCAAUCAUUGACCGAUGUGGACAGGUAGCUUACCGCCUUAAACUGCCCGAACGAUUAUCCGGGAUACAUAAUGUGUUCCAUGUGUCUCAACUGAAAAAGUGUCUUCGGGUACCAGACCAAGUUCAAGAUAUUGAAGACGUAGAACUUGAACCAGAUCUAACUUAUUUGGAGUAUCCUGUCCGAGUACUGGAUCAAAGAAAUAGAAUUACUCGAAGAACGACUACCAAGUGGUACAAGAUACAGUGGAGCCAGCACUCUGAAGAGGAGGCAACUUGGGAAUCUGAGGACUAUCUACUGGAGAAUUUUCCUGAAUUCCAUGCUUCUCUUCAGGACAACAUAUGAUAAAUAGAGAGUGUACUCUAAUGAAGAAAAAGAGUCGCCAGAGCCAUGUACCUAAUGUACAUAUAUGUUUAUAAUGGAGUGUUUUUCCCAACCUCUUGCUUAUGGGAAAGUUGAAGAUGAAAGAGUUUUGACAAAUUUCCUUUUCCAUUACUUACCCUAAGGUUUUAAAUCUCGGGGACGAGAUUUCUUUAAGGAGGGAGGGCUGUAACAUCCCCGAUGUUACGAACACUAAAAGCGGAUCAUGUCAUCAUAUGCAUUGCAAAGCAUAUUUGUUAAGCACAUUAUUAUGCAUCAACUUAAAACAAGUUUAUUUUGAUUGCUUGUGCUUAGGGGAGUAGAGUGUGCUUAUGUUGUGUGUUGAUGCUUGCUAAAACCCUAGGGUGGAAGUUUUUCGAAAAGCUAAGGGGGGGAAACCCUGAUUUCUGGAUCCUAGAAUUGCCCCCUUUUGCACAACAUAAAAACUAAGCAAAAUUUGAGGUUGAGUUCAAAAGCAAAGUUGUAGAUCUUGUUAAGGUGUACAACUUUGGUGUUUUGAGUUUUUGAAGUUUCAAUAAAAAAUUCAAAGUAAUUUUGCAAAUACAGAUUUCCAGAAAAUGUCCCCUUUUCCAAUUUAAACCUCCAAUUCAAAAUCCAUUUGGAAUUUUGAAAAGUGGUCAACAUGAAAGUUGUAGAACACAAAAAGUUGAGCAACUUUAAUGUUGGGAAUUUUUCAAGUUGUUUAGGAAAAACAAAAGUAAUUUUGGAAAUUCUGAUCUUCCCCAAUUCAAACCAAAUUUGCCCCAAAUUGAAUUUUCAAAUUUCAAACUGUUUCCCCUAAAUUCAUGCCCUUACACUCAAAAUCAGUUCUGGACUCUUAAAUAUGUUUUGUAGCUUAUAAAAUUUGGAGCAACUUUUGUUUUGACACAAAUUUGACUCCAGUUCAAAUUUUGGGCGAAUUUUACAAAACUACAAACUGUGGAUGAGGAUUGCUACAGUGUUCGGCAGGGGGGGGUGCUCUGCCGCCACGGUAGAGCCGCCUCCGCGCGCGACGCCACGCAGCUGGCCACGCAGCUGCUUGCUGCUGUGCUUCGCGCGGACGUCCUCAUCCGCAUCGCAGGCGCCGUCGCGUGGAUAAAGCCUCGGGUGGCCGGGACUUUCUUUUCUUCUUCCUGAACCUCGACGCCGACGAGCUCCCUGUGCCUCCCAAUUUCGCCUCACCCGUUACCUUUCCAAGCCCUUUGAGCACGCCAGCAGCUCCGCCUUGAGCUCCGCCACCGGUUGCACCCCCGAACACAAGCUCUAACCUACCAGCGCCCUCUACCGAGCCGUCCCUCUCCAAUUCCGGCCAAGGCGCCGCCGCGGGCAUACCACCGUGGCCAGCGUCACCCCGGCUCUCUCCGCUGCUGCUUUUCGCUCGGCUGAAGUCGUGGUGAGCUUCUAGUGCUUUUGCGCUACUCCUUGUGCGCUAUACUCGCCUGUGGUGGCCAGCGUGUGCUCGGCCGCGGCGGCCAUCCGCCAUGAGCGUGAACAGGGAGGGUAGGAGGGAGUAGGGGUGGUCUCGUGUGUCCUAGGGACUGCGCGAGAAGCCGGAGAUGCUAACCCACCCCGCCGCGCAGACCGGGAGCUCACCGGCGCGGAGCCAGGGCUCACCGGAGCAGUGGUGAGAGGUGGCAGACGCCUCUGACGAGUGGGACCCGCUCGUCAGCGGCCGUGUGAGAGAGAGCAGCGCCAGCGCGCGCAGGCCGCGCGGGAGAGCGCUCGCGGGCCGACUUGGGCCAAGUCCAAGCAGGCCGCCCGCACGCCACAGUGCCUUUUUCUUUUUCCUUUUUGUUUAAAUAUGCUGAAUGUUUGAACUUGUGUAAUAAAUUGGGUGAUGAUCCAAAAAUGAUGAGAAUUUUUGUAUAGACUCCCUGAAAUAUGUAGAACCAAAGAAAAAUAUUAGGUUCUGUGUUUUUGACAGUUUGCAAGGGUAUAAAAAUUGGCUCCUUUAAUUAGCAAAUAAAACUUGUAUGAAUUUUAAUAAUUUAUUUGUAUGUCCAAAAAUCACCAAAAUUUGUGGGGAGCCUCUAAAUAUGAUUCCCUGGCUCCACCCAAAAUUUGGUGGCAUUUGGAUAAUGUUUGAAUAAAAUAUUAAUAAACCCUUAUUUAGUAAUUAAAUAAUAAUUCCAAAAUAGUUAAACAACGAUUAGUUAAUUGCUCAGGAUUAGGAUUUGGGUGAUUUUGGAUUAUGUGAUGACCUGAGGUCAUUAACCCUAAUGACCUUUGGCAUUUAAUUAUUGUUUGGCCUUAAUGCUUAAUUAUUGUCAUUAGUGGUUAUUUAAGAGUUAAUUGAGGUAAAUAGGAUUAAUAAUUAGUUAAUUUAAGAUAAUUAUGAAUUAAGAAAUAUUCUAAUUUACAGAUGCAACCUCUUGGGUAAAAACACUAAAAUAGUAAACAACGUUAAUUAAUGUUUAUUCUGUGUUGCUCCGAGAAGGCAAGUUGUACUCGACUUGACCCUUCUUGCAUAUUUGUCAUACGCACAUCAUGAGCAUUCAUCGUUUUGCGUAUAGUAUCCGUGACCGAAGGAGCGCCCGUUGAACCGAACCCCGAGGUCGGUGCUCCGUUCGAGGAAGUCGGAUCCGAGACUUGGGAAGUCUCCGAGGGUCCCUCUCUGCCCUGCAACCAAGGCAAGCCCCGGAUGCAUUAACCCUCCUUGAAUGUUUUAAAUCUUUUAUCACUUAUGAAUUGAAAAUGCUGCAUUAGGUAGUUGAGAAUUGGUUAACCUACUUGCUGCAUUUACUACCUUGAUAUCUGUUAUCCUGUCCUUGACACCUGUUUAUUUAAAACUGCGUAGUAAUGCUUAGCCCUGCUACUAGAUAGGUUUUCAAAUAAGAAAGUUUGAAGGGUUGUUGUGGAAUACAUUUAUGAUCAAUGAUGUUUUAAUCUGAGACCGGUCGGUGGACUUGCUUUAAGAAUGGAGUCUUAAAGUAGUGUCUCCAACUGUGUCGGUUAAGGACCGGUCCGUUGAUGGCCCGCUGGGUUGAGAAUUUAUAGUACUAGCCACUUGCCCUCGGUAAGCCCGGUCUUGUGAUCCCUCGACGCGAACAGCUACUCGCGCACUGGGAGUGGAAAGAUGGCGAGAGUAGUGUGUACCCACCUUACGGAUCUGAGAUGACCGGAAAACAUCUAGAUCGGCUGUAGGAUGGUGGAGUACUGUGCUCUCGGGUGCCGCGAACCUGGUCAAAUUUGGGGAGAGCUUGAUUUGGGUUGACAUAUGCAAGAUUUGGUUCUACAUAUGUCGGGUGGUUAGGAACUCCAGCUGGAUUGCUAAGCGGUUCGAAUCGUCGUUGCUCCCCGAUUGGGAGACUCAAUCCACUGCCCCUCAUCGUAGUUAAUUAUGCAACUAAAUGAUAAAAUGAGAAAGGGGGAAAUGUCUCAUGAGGUUCGGAUCCCAAUUCCCGGACUCAUAGCGACAUGAAGCUAUGGCCAUCAAAUAAAUAAUACUUUAUUUUAGGACUAGGGACUCACAGACUCGUCUGUGGGGAGACAACUAGUUAGACUGUCCUCGAACUCCUCAGCCUCUGCGGGAGGGGAAUUCGCGGGUAAAACUUGAAAGUAAGGAUGCACAAUUAGUAAGCUUUAUGGCAAAACACUGUGGCUCCCUGCUCAGCCACUCCUCGCCUACCCUAAGCCUGCAUUCCUAAGUUCUCCUCUUUUCCUGCCGGAUAAGUCUUGUUGAGUACUCCCGUACUCAGGGUUCCAAUACCCCUGUUACAGGUGAAGCUCAGGAGCCGACUUGUUUUGGACCUUGUUGUGUGACCGUCGUCGAGGUGGACGACGAAGAAGAGUGAGCUUGACCCAUGGGCAGGGUCUGUAAAUUUGUAAUCUCUGUUCUAAAGUUUAAGUUGCUCCGCUGGACCUGGUUUGUAAUAACACUCUGCUAUUUGGAAGAACUCCUUCUGUAAAAUAAGUUAUGUAAUACUUCCGCUGUUUUACUCUGAAAUAUUAUUUUGGUCGUAUGUUGUUUGUGGUACUGCAAUGUCUUCGCAACGAAUGAUCCUGGUGAUAAGGUGGCCACUUGCUAUCCUGUAAGGGCGAGAAGAAGAAGUUCUCGUUAAUUGACCAUCACCAGUGGUCAGGACGAGCCGGCUUGGCACGCCACAGGUAGCAGUGGAAUGAGCAUCCAACAAUGCUCAUCGGACUUCUAAAGUGGGAGGAUUCCCGGCAUCGCCGUCAGAGGUCCUUAGGACAAUGACAGGUGCCGGUGGGCCCAAACACUUAGGGGGUUCUGCCACACCGGGCGCCCGAUGAUGGCGUGGUACGUCACCCGGAAUCCCACCACCUGAAAGGUGAGGGUCUCUUUUCUGAAGUUGGCCGCCAUACCAAAGCAGACCGGUAGGUCGAUUCGACCCACUGGUAAUGCCUUCUUUCCAAGUACGACGCCGUGGAAGCCACCGGCGCUUGGUUGGAGCUGCGCCCUGUUGAUGCCGAGAAGGUUGAGGGUCUCGAGGUAGAUGAUGUUCAGGCUGCUGCCGCCAUCCAUCAACACCUUCGAGAGCCUGUUGUUGAUGAUGUUGGGGUCGACGACGAGCGGGUAGACGCCAGGGGCGACUACCUUGUCAGGGUGGUCGUCUCGAUCGAAGGUGAUGGGGGUGCUUGACCAGCUGAGGUACUGGGGCGCCGCCAUCCAUGCGGCAAAGACCUCACGACGUUCCCUCUUUCGUUGCCUUGUGGUUAGCUGCGUCGAGGGUCCGCCGUAGAUCAUGUAGCAAUCAUGGACGGCUAGGAAACCUUCGUCGUUUUUGUCGUCCCCCUUGUUGCCGUUUUUCUCUUUCUUCUGGUCGUCCUUUUUGAACCCUAGGCUAUCGAAGUGCUUCUUCAACAUGCGACAGUCCUCGAGCUUGUGGUUUGCCCCUCCCUUAUGAUAAGGGCAGGGCUCCUUUAGCAUUUUGUCGAAGAUAGCCCCCUCAGGGGGUCCUCGAGGCCUCUUGCAUUCCAUGGCGGCGACGAGAGUGUCGUCGAGGGCUUCCCGCUGGAAUGGUCGUGCUUUCUUCUUCUUGUUGUUCUUCUUGGGUCCUCGACUGGGGCCCUCGUUAUCGUCAGCGGGUGACUUGCCAUUUCCUCCUUCACAGCUGAAGAAGGCACCGACCGCUUCUUCCCCUGUGGCGUAGUUUGCCACUACAUCCAUCAGCUUGUCGACGGUCUGAGGACGAUUCCGGCCUAACUCCCGCAGCAGAUCUCGGCUGGUGGUGCCUGAGACGAAGGCCAGAAUGACGUCGUGGUCAGGUAUGUGCGGCAGCUCGGUGCGCUACUUCGAGAAGCGUCGAGCAUACUCUCGAAGAGUUUCUCCUGACUUCUACUUGCACUUGCUGAGGUCCCAUGAGUUGUCGGGCCGUAUGUAGGUCCCUUUGAAGUUGCCCUCGAACACUCUGACCAAGUCGGUCCAGUCGUGGAUUUGAUUGGCUGGGAGCUCCUCGAGCCAUCUGCGGGCGAUGUCGGAGAGAAAAAGUGGUAGCUGGUGGAUGAUGGCUCGAUCGUCCCCUCGAGCGCCUCCCAGCUGACAGGCUAGCCUGAAGUCUGCCAGCCACAGCUCUGACUUGGUCUCGCUGUUGUCUUUGGCUAUGCUGGUCGGGGGACGAAACAGGCUGGGCAGCGGCGUGCUGUGGAUUGCUCUGCUGAACACCCGAGGGCCCGGUGGUUCUGGGGCCAUCCGGUCCUCGUCGCUGUCGUAUCUCCCGCCGCGGUGGGCGCUAUAACUGCGCUCUUCUGCAUCCCCAUACCGACGUCGACGAUUUUCAUCGACGUCGCGUCGUGGGUCAUGUCGCCGUUGGUUGUCGACGGCGUGGUGGAGGACGAGCGCUGUCUUCUUCCCUCGAGGGGGCGGUUGCUGAUGGACCGACACCUCCUUUUCAUUCUGGGCUGGCUCCUCACGCUUUUCUGUGGCUGCUCCUCGACGUCGACAGGCCGAUCUCUCAGCUUGCUGAACUGCCGCCACCUGGAACAGAGUCUGCACCUCGUCUCGAAUGCGCCGUGCUUGGGAGUUCGAGGGCUCGGGCAUGUUACGCAACAGCAUUGUUGCUGCCACGACGUUUUGGCCCGCCCGAGGGAAGCGACUGACUGGUUGUUCUGGCUCCCCGUCCCCGACGAUCUGUCGAUGCACCUCUCGAGCCCUUCUGCGGACACUUCCGCCAGGUGGGUAUGGUAGGUCCUGCUCAAGGAUUUGCUCGAGCAAGGCAAGGCGCUCACGGUCUUCAUCAAGUUUUCUCUUGAGCUCUCGCAGUUGCGCAAGUUGCGCGGCUUUAUCUUCUUGUGGAGGCGGGUCGACCUGUCUAUCAUUCCUAGGAGUCCUAGGGUCCUCUUUUGCUGCAGGGGCUCAACCGCCAGCAACGGCGUCCUGCGUCUCGUCGGUUGUUUCUACCGCCCCGUCGAUAUGGAAGCAUUCCCUAGUAGGGUCGCAGCUGUCGGACUCAGAGCCAGAGUCCGGCUCGGCGACGUAGAAGCAUCCACGUCCCUCCUCCAGCAGCCGCUGCGUGAGGGAGGUAAUCGUGUAUCGCCCAGGUCCUAGGCGGCGGAGGCCCCGUACCUGCGAGAAGCCUGAGGGUAGCCGUGCUCCAUUGUCGCAUGGGAGGACCAUUGGUCUUUCCACAUAUGUCUGGGCGUUUGGACAUAUUGUCCUUGCAAGCGAUGCUGCGCCGUUGUCUAGCCCGAACGGCAGUGCUCUUCUUGUGGCGAAUAACCCGUGUGGAAGCAGCGUCGUGUCGGGCGAGAGCGCGCAGGGUGCGCUGUCUCCCGUCGUCGUCGUGCGGUUCUUGUGGCAUCGGGCCGUCGUGCCCGCGGUCUCGGCGUGCGGGGCUGUUGGCUCCUGGAUCACCUCCCGCCUGGCGCGAACUGGCGAUCGUGAUGAGGCGGAGGGGUGAUGGUGGUGCGGCCCACGCCUCUUCUUGGGCGGGGAGGCAUGGUGGUGAGGACGUCUCGGAGCCCUCAAUCGUGCUGGCGUAACGCGAGCUCCUCCCGGUCCUUUGACCGAGAGUAGGAUCAUGUCGUAGCCAAAGCCAGUAGACAUCAACUUGAGGCUCCCAAACCAAAUCACCGUGGAGCGCGGAAUCGGCGAAACGAGAGUGGCCAUCUGGAAAGGAAUGGGAAAUCGGCGAAAAAACACGCAUGACCCCUACCUGGCGCGCCAACUGUCGGUGUUUCCCCCCCGGGGGGUCACACCAACGAGUAAAACUUGUAUGCUUGCUCCAGAUGGUGAUGCAAAAAGACACAAAGAUUUAUCCUGGUUCAGCAAGAGAAGGCCCUACGUCCAGCGGGGGGGAAGAGAUUGUAUUAUUCUGCACCUAAGUGCUUGUACAGGGGUGAAUACAAGCGUGGUAUGAAUGGAGAUGGAGUGAGUUGCUCUACUGCGUAUGACUUGUGUCCUAUCAUGUGUCCGUUGCAUGUUCCUGGACCUCCCCUUUUAUAGUCCAAGGAGAGGCCCAGGGUACAUGUAUAGGCGUCAGAGUAGGGGUCGAUAGAGGUAUGGCGCGCUGAUCUUCUCGAGGCUUGCUCUACUGCGUAUGACUUGUGUCCUAUCAUGUGUCCGUUGCAUGUUCCUGGACCUCCCCUUUUAUAGUCCAAGGAGAGGCCCAGGGUACAUGUAUAGGCGUCAGAGUAGGGGUCGAUAGAGGUAUGGCGCGCUGAUCUUCUCGAGGCCUCCGUACCGGCGUGGCCUCGAGCCGUCUUGUCUUGGUACUUUGAUGAUGAUUAUGCAUGCCCCUGAAUCCUGCUCCUGCGCGUCGUUCCGGAUUAGUUUAUACGUAGCACGCUUGUACAUUGUGGCAGUAGCUGCGUCGGAGUGGUUGGGGUGCCGUCAGUCGUCGCACGAUUCUUCCUGGGAAAGGAACAUGCCUACUCGAGGGUCAGGUGCCAUGUAACGACUCACGGGCCAGAGCGCUGACUUCUGGUGUCUCGAGGGGGGUCGUGACUAGACGUCUCGACUCGCUCUCUGCACUCUGCCAUGCUCUGGCUGGUUUGGUGGGGAAAGCUGUAAAAGGGACGACAGGACGGGUGCUGGUCUCCUAUCACGCUUCCCGUGACUGUCGGGUUAGGUGAGAACAUUGCAGGCACAUUAAAUGCCCCUGAUCCCUGUGCCUGUGUUAGGUGGCGGGCGGCGUCCUUGCACUCGAGGCCUUCCGGUUCGUACGAGCCUGCUUCCAUAUUUGACGGCAGCCGGUCGCUCGAGCCUUGAUCGAUUCGCAGGACGCUCUUUCUGUGUUUGAGGCCAUAGUCGUCGAGGACUGCGCGUAUGACUGGGCAAGGCAUCGAGUUGGAGGCCUCGACUCGCGUACGGAUGCCCUCGAUAUGCAUGUCAGUUAGGUUACCCCUUACUGAUACGAUACCAGAGUAGUCCCCAAACUCUUAUGCAUUCGCUCCCAGAAAUGAGCGGUGAACUGCGGUCCCCUGUCCGAUAUGAUGGUCUUGGGAAUACCAUGCAACUUAACAAUCUCAGCCAGAUACAAAUCGGCAUACUCGGGAGGUCGGUAACGAGUCUUCACAGGAAUGAAAUGAGCCGAUUUAGUCAAUCGAUCUAUGAUUACCCAAAUCGAGUCAUUCCCCUUUUGUGUUGUUGGUAAACCUGUGAUAAAGUCCAUGCUGACCCCUUCCCACUUCCACUCUGGAACUGACAACGGUUGCAACAGACCUGUAGGUUUCAUAUGUAUAGUCUUGACUCUACAACACGUGUCACAACGGGCCACAUAUGCUGCUAUCUCUUUCUUCAUCUUAGUCCACCAAAAGUGAGAUUUUAGGUCAUGAUACAUCUUACUACUGCCAGGAUGGAUAGAAAGCUUGGAGAGAUGGGCUUCAUCCAUGAUGCGAUUCUUUAAUUCUUGAUUCUUCGAAACUACUAGUCGGUGCUGAAACCACAAUACCCCUUUCUCAUCAACGCGGAACUGAGUUUUUGGGUCAUCUUUCAUCUUCUCUUUGAUGUAGAAAAUACCCUUGUCUGCUUUCUGAACUUCGAUGACUUGACUCUCAAGCGAACAACUGAGCUGUAUGUGACAUAGGACUUCAGGAUGCAUGAGAUUGAAACCAUCUUCAAACAGAGGUUGAACCACUUGACAAUGCGGUUUGCGACUCAAGGCGUCUGCUACCACAUUAGCUUUGCCCGGAUGAUAAUGGACUUCCAGAUCGUAAUCCUUGAUCAGCUCCAACCAUCGUCGUUGCCUCAUAUUCAACUCAGACUGAGUGAAGAUGUACUUCAGACUUUAAUGAUCUUUGUAGAUAUGACACUUAUUUCCUAGCAAAUAGUGCCUCCAGAUCUUCAAAGCGUGCACUACUAGUGCUAACUCAAGGUCAUGAGUUGGGUAGUUGACUUCGUGUUUUCUCAACUGUGUUGAAGCAUAAGCUAUUACUCUGCCGUCUUGCAUCAGCACACAUCCCAAGCCACUUUUCGAUGCGUCGCAAAACACAUCAAAAGGCUUCUCGAUAUUGGGUUGCGCUAAAACGGGAGCGGUGGUUAGCAACUUUCGCAAGGUGCGGAAGGCUAGUUCACACCCUUCCGUCCAAACAAUCUUAUGAUCCUUUUGUAGCAGACUGGUCAUCGGCUUAGCAAUCUUGGAGAAGUCGGGUAUGAAACGACGAUAAUACCCGGCCAGACCAAGAAAACUCUGAACUUCCGAGACAGAAGUUGGUGCCUUCCAGUCCAUGACUUCCUGUACUUUUGAUGGAUCCACAGCAAUCCCUUCUUCAGAUAGAAUGUGCCCUAGGAAAGGAACAUACUUCAACCAGAACUCACACUUGCUGAACUUUGCAUAUAACUGAUGCUCUCGUAGUCGUGUUAGCACGACCCUUAGAUGCUUGGCGUGAUCUUGUCCAUUUUCUGAAUAAACCAGAAUGUCAUCGAUGAACACCACAACAAACUUGUCUAGCUCUGGCAUAAAGACCAAAUUCAUCAGAUACAUGAAGUAUGCAGGAGCAUUUGUCAACCAGAUGGACAUGACGAGAUACUCAUACAACCCAUAUCUGGUGGAAAAAGCAGUCUUUGGGAUAUCUUGCAGACGGAUCUUGAUUUGGUGAUACCCGGACCUCAAGUCUAUCUUGGAAAACACUUUUGCCUUAGACAACUAAUCAAACAAGAUAUCAAUCCUUGGUGAUGGAUACUUAUUCUUGAUCGUCACCGCAUUGAGUGGACGAUAGUCCACGCACAUGCGCAGCGAUUGAUCCUUCUUUUUCACAAACAACGCUGGACAACCCCACUCCGACAAACUUGGCCGGAUGAACCCUUUAUCCAGUAAUUCCUUUAGUUGAUUCUUCAACUCAGCGAGCUCAUUAGGCGGCAUACGGUACGGCCUUUGAGAUAUUGGUGCGGUACCUGGUAUCAACUCUAUUGCAAACUCUACUUCCCUAUCUGGUGGAAGUCCCGGCAAUUCCUCAGGAAAGACAUCAGGAAACUCAUAGACCACUGGUAUAUGUUCUAGUGGAACCACCUGUACUGCACACGAGAGACUAGCGAAGUCCAACCGUCGAGGUAGCUUGACUUGAACCACACCCUCCCCCUGUGGGUCCUUGAGGGAAAGAGUUCUUUUUCCGGUAUCUAUAACUGCACCCCAGUCGGUCAUCUUAUUCAUUCCGAUGAUAACAUCCAAAACCAACCCUGGCAUGACCACAAGGUUUACACGAAACCUUCGGCCACUGAUAUCCAAGGUAACCCCUGUUACUGUUUUGUUAGUCAACACAUCAGCCCCUGCUGAGCUGAUGCGAUAACCAUAACCCAACUCAGUAACUGGUUGGUAAUGCUUUUGUGCAAAAGCUUGGCUCAUGAAUGAAUGCGAUGAUUCAGAAUCAAACAAAACAACUGCAAGAUGUUGGUUGACAAAAAACAUACCAGCUGUGACCGGUUCUCCUUCUGGAAUCUCCUCUAUCGAGGUAUGGUGCAGUAGAGCUGGGUAGGUUGUCUGUUGCCUCUUGGGAUAGGGACAUUCCUUAGCAAAGUGCCCCAUCUUGUGGCAGUUUUAGCAUGGCCCCUUGGUCAUAUUAUUGCGGCAGGUACCGCAGCUUGAACUGCUUUUGGCUUGGCAGGAGUUAUUGCCACCUUGUACGGUUUCUGCUGCGUUGGAUGCCCAGUGUUCCUUCUCUGUGGCGGUCAGAACCUAGCACCUGGGCAGGAGGACGAUAUUGCUGUCGCCCUGCCACUGGUGCCCUAGACUGAGACGACCCGGCUUCAAAAGCCCUCUUACGAGAUUUGGAUGCACUGUAGUUGUUGUUGUUGUUCUCCUGGGUCAGACAGUCACUGUUGUAAGCAUUGAAGGUAGCCCGGGUUCCUGUACCCACGGUCUUCAGCAUCUUUGGGCUCAAACCUCUCUGGAAACUAGUGAUCUUCUUGGCCUCCGUGUUCACAAACUCGGGAGCGUAGCGAGCGAGAUUGUUAAAAGCGUGUAGACACUCCUUCACAGACUUCGUUCCCUGAGAUAGCCUCAUGAACUCCCCAACCUUCAUUUGAACCACACCCGGAGGAAUGUAAUUUCCCCAGAAAGCGGUGGUGAAGUGGUUCCAGGUGAUUGGGGUCCCUUCUGGGUAGGUGGUACGGUGAUGGGACCACCAAAUCCUAGUAGGUCCUUGCAACUGAUGCACUGCAUACUUAGCCUUAAGUUCUUCAGUCAUCCGAAGAAGACGAAACUUUUGCUCCAUGGUGUUGAUCCACUGAUCUGCCUCAAGCGGUUCCAAGGCCUCCUUGAAGACUGGUGGCUUGGUAUCUAUGAAGUCCUUGAAAGAGCUGUACUGAUUGGCUUCACGACCGCCCUGGUUAUCCCCACGGCGGGUAUUGUUAGCGAUAUUGCGCAGGGCUUCUUCCAUGUUGCGCUGCAUCUGUUCCAUGUUGUGUUGGCUCCCCAGAAACUGCGUGAAAAACACGUCCGCAUUGUACGGAGGAGGCGGUGGUGGUGGCGGUGAUGGUGCUCUUUCCUCAUUCCGUUGAGCCCCACCUCCGGAAGUACCUGCUCCAAGACUGGGGUUGCUGUUACCCCCGACACGUGUUUGCACCAUCUGCAUGCGUCAAUGAUAAGCAAUCGUUAGGAGUUGCCAUCAACGGUAGACAUAUGUAGAAUUAAGCCAUACUGAAUUUACUGAGGAAAAUAAAUUCGCACAAUAAAUAGAGGCACAACAAUUCAUCAUCCACACACAACAUCACUAACUGAUUACUUAACAUUCGAGCAACAUGGUUCGCAUACAUCCAAAAUUGCCAGUAUACAUACACUGGACUUUCAGCGUCAUCACAUAAAGUUUUACACUGCCCAGAUCCAAGAUUACAAGGCAUGUCAUGCAACAACAUCAACAAAAGAAGAAGGACUAGCUCUAGAGCCCUAGCAUCUACUCGCUAUGGUCACUGUCCAUGCCGGAGCCCUGUUCGUCCUCAUCUCCACUAGCAGCUGCCUCUAUCUCUAGAUCCUCAUCCAUCUCAUCCUCAGAGUCUAUCUCAGCUACCCCAGGCAGGUGGUGAGGAUGGAGCUGGUUAUGCAGCUGGUGGAUCUCCUCAUGCAGGUUCUCAUUGUACUCCUCAGCAUUAGCUAGCUGCUGCUCAAGCUCUAGUAGUCGGGCCCUCAGGGUGUCCUCCUCAUGCCAGGCUUCAUUCCUUUGACCAAGCACAUGAACUAGCAUGCGCUCGCAGUUCAUGUGAGCAGUAGUCACCCUGUCUCUCUGCUCUUUGACUGCAAGCAGGUCCUGACUUAGCUCGCUGUUCUUCUGGACCGCCUGAUCCCUCUCUUGGGUCAUGCGAGCAAACUCUGCCUGCAACCUCUCAACCUCAGUGUCAAACUCAUGCUACAGCUGACGCUUCUCAUCCUGAACUGUAAGAAGAGACCCGGACAAGCGCCCCAAACAACGCUCGAGGCCCCCAUAGGUCUUCAUCAAGGUGUACAUAGCACUCAUAGCUGCGCUGUCACUAUGCUGGUCCUCAUCCGCACUCCUCUCUAGAGCAUUCACCUCGGACUGAUCCCACACCGAAGUGUAGGGGUCACCCCGGGGAAACACCCCAGCGAAGGCGUGGGCCAGCUCCUGUGGAAACCUCUCCAUGAGGUCCCUCACAACUGCAAAAUCUGCUCUGCUGGCACCGUGAAAAGGUGUGAUACCUCGAGACUCGUACACCCAGCCGCCCCAGGCAGGGUCACCUCCACUGGUAGAGACCACUGCCUCGAUCCCCAUCAGGGUCCUGUCACCAAGCUGCUCCUUGUCCCAAUAGUAGCGAGGUUCCCUUCCUUCGGGAUACCCCAUCAAACUGAGCACCCUCCAAAGCAAGGUGGGCAUCCCAAACUCCUCCAAGAACAUGCUCUUAUGACGCGAGCACCUGGCUGCCAACGGAUGGCGAGGGGCCCGCCCACCAGUGGACUUACGAGCGGUGAGCCUAGUGCGUGCCAUCUGCUGCAAUGGGAAUACCUUGGGUGAGAUUGAGGAUUAUCUUUUAUUAUUAUAUUUGGAAUUGGGACAGAUUAAAUUAAGGGGAGGAAGUAAGGGAUGAUAUGGAAUGAACAUGAUGCAUGCACGAACUUACGAUCUCACAAACUUAGAAACAAAAGUUAACACUAAUAGGUAUAUGUGGUGGCACACAACAUUCUCUCAUAACGUAACUAGCGUUCUAGGCGGGAACGUGGUUAGUGUACCUGCAGAAAACUCACUUCAGCCCAACCACAGUAUGAACAUGCAGAACAAGAAUUUAAAGCUAUGCACCCCACACACAUAGACACCCCGUCCAUGCAUAUGACGUGUUACUACCCACAACAUCGCCCUAAUGACGGCAUCGUCUCUCAGGACGGAAUCUCCCAACAUGUGGUACUGUUCCCAGGCACACCAAACAUGUGUGCAUGACACAGCACCUAACAACACUCCCCACAACACUCCCCUAGAUCGGCAGUGUAUCCGAUCAUGCUCUCACAGCUCCCACUUACCGAGGUGUAGAGGAAGAAUUGACCCAUACAUUACCACUCAAAUGAAUGGCACUCAUACUAUUGCACGCCGUAUGAGCUACGAAUUAGAAAUAUGAUGCAUUACCCCCAAGUCAGUACUUAACUAGCCACCUUAGAGUCCUUAACUAGGCAUAAAGGAUAUGACCAUGGCACACUAGAUAGUUUUCCAAAAACUUAGUUUGACACCUUGAUUAUCAUUGAUUAAUAAUAAUCUUUCGUUAAAUCGGUUUUAGUUUAGUUUAUAAUGUACUUAUGAACAGUAACUCGUUAAACCUUGCUCCGAUGCUAGCUGUAACAGAACCACCCAAAUUAUAAGAGAUUAAAAUAAAUAGUGACCAUUUACACAGUCGAACCAUCGAGCUUAAGCCCAUAUAAUCCCGGUAGUCCGUGAAAUCUCGAAGGAUUUCAAACCACAACUCGUACAUAUAGCCAAGAUCGUAAUAAGUUCAGCGGUCACCAUCCACAAUUACAUUCAGUUCACAACAUUCAUAAAAUACAUCGGAGUCCUUAAAAUUAUUACAAACCAAGUUCUAGAGUAGCGGAAGCUUCAUAGUUCGAAAAUAACACACACAUACUUAGUCUAAUACGUUGCCAUAGUUCGGUCAUUCCCACAAAGCAAAAGAGGAGGUAGAGUGACCAUCGCCCUUGGUCUAGUCAUCGCCCAUCGCUGGGUACAAGCAGAGUAUGGAAUAACCAUAGUACAUUUGACCAUCUACAAAACAACAUGGGAGUAGAACCCUGAGUACGAGAAUGUAAUUAGCUAGACUUACCCGUCAUAAACCAAAAUAAAGACUCUUCAAGGAUCAUGAAGGCUAUAUAGUGGGGUAGCUGAUGACUUUUUGCAUAAAAGCGCUGUUUUAUUAAACAUAACCUAAAGGAAUCCUUCUUCUUUUAAUUAGCUCAAGUUGAAAGUAUCAUUACCUAAUAUCUUGGUUUGCACCUGCACUAUGGCAAACAAAUGUAAUAAUAUGAUGGUACCUCAUCAUAGCAUUCAUGAAAUCAUUUAUCAUAUAACCCAAGUGUUCCAUAGUCCUUACUACGAGGACAGGGCUCAUGUCAAGUGCUCACUAUCUAGGAGCGAUGGUGAUUCAAAUAGAUUUCUGACCAGCUGGUGACUUUAUUCCCCACACAAACACACUCACGGAUCAAGUGAGCUACAGAUCACCGUGUUGCACUAUCCAGGACCAAUUUGCGGGUUCGACAGGCACCGCCCGUACCCGAGGACCGUUCCGACGACCGAGGUAUCCAAGGUAUACCAAGGUUGCGCACCGUGCCCUCGUCGUUCUCCUCAACCAUCACCAAUACAGCGCGUACAUCAGGCCGAUUCCCGGCCCGGAUAGUGCUCAGGCUUCGUGGUCGGAACGACUUAUCCUUCCAGCUAAGUGUGGGGCAUGCCUUCAACAUGACAAGAGGGCCGUCAACGAUCGGUCCUUAAUCGACACAGGCAGGGGCACUACGGUCAACCCACCAUAAGACCCUGCCCGGUCUCAAAUUACUUUCCUCACUUGGUUAUCCUUUCCCAAAGCAAUCACCGCUAAUCAAGCAGGUAUCCACCUAUAUCUCGCAGGUGACAGGAAAUCACCCGACUUCUACCAGACUAAGCAAGCUAAGCAUAGAUUCUGUGCCUAUCUACAUAGGACAAGGUAGGUACACAAGUGAUGAUGUCAAGGAGUACAUAUGCAUCAACGGUAUCAAGCAAUUCCUAUCACUUAAAUGCACAUAGUAAAACAAGCAUAAUAUAUUAUUUAUGUUAGCGAGAAUAGGGAGACUUAGAAUGCUCCGGGGCUUGCCUUUCUCAAACGUGCUCGGUCUGUGAUCAGGGCACUCCUGCAGCUCUUCUCCGGGCUGUGACACUCCCAGAGGUUCCUGCUCCUGUGCUUCCUCCUGCUCCUUGGGUCCCACCUCGUUCUCCUGCGAGCCUAUAUGAUGCAUGGGUGCUCAUGAGUGGAGUGCGAGAUGCCCGCCGUGCAAUGCUUAUGCAAGAGGAUACCAAAUGACCAUGACAUGAUACAUAGAUGAUUUAAGUGGUCAUUUCUACAAGGUAGUCAACAUCAUCCAAGAACAUGCAAUUGAGUUAAGCAUCUAUUGCAUUCUCUUCUACAAUUUGUAUUCAUGGUUAACCAGCCCUCACAUGAUGCUUCAAAGAUACACCAAACGUCCUCUUACUUUAUUUAAUCUAUGUAUAACAAUUAUAAUUUCUUUAUCCACUUUUAGGCCUACCAAAAAUAGCAUACAUUUUUGUUUAUCAAUAAAUCCCACAAAAAUUAUAAUAGACUACUAGUCACUCAUAAAGUCUACCAUAAAUUUUUCAUAAUAUUUGAACAAUUAUUUUGAGCUACAAAAAUCAUAGAUUAAUCCAUAUAAUUAAGUAUAAUUAUCCUACUGUUGUGUAAGUGUCAAACAGCAGAUUUCAUAUUUUUAUAAUUGUUGACACCGUUUUUGGGCACGUACCCAGGAUCGGUAGAAUGUAGAUCGGCAAGAAAGGACAAUAGUGACUAGUCUGCAGGAGUGUUGCCGAUAAGGGUGCUUACCGAUGAAGAGAUAGCUGAAUGUGGCUAAGUCCAUGGGUGGUGAUGUGUUUAUGCCAAUGGCCUGUAUUAAUCGUUGCCAAUGGGGAGUCCGCCGAUGACGUGGAAGAAAUAGUGACUUGAAGGUUGCCAAUUGGUCCGUGGUUGUGUCCCAGCUUGUCACGGCAGGGUAGUUUUAUGUUUUCCUUAGUUGUUUAAAUCGUUUUCUACACGGAUUCUGUUUAAAUUUGGAAUUCGAAUUCUAGUCGUGUCUAGUUGUAGCUCUUCGAGCAGGGUAUAAAUGUGAACCCUAGGGCCUUGUAAUCAAUCGAAUCAAUCAAUCAAAUACACGUUUUUACUCAUAUUCCAGCAUCUACUUUUUCGACGACUUCGUCAUACUUUUCCUUUUUAGUACGAGUUCUUAGUAAUUCGUCGACUUAAGCUCGGCUAUUCUCGAGUUCCGCGUGAAUACCUCUUGGCCGUGAAUCCGGGCGCAUCGCUGUUGUCGGGACCAAAGUAUUCGAGUUAUCACCUUUGCCGAUAGUAAGGUCAAAUCGGCUGGCACGCCUUAACGUUUAAAUCGUUUAUUAGCCCUUUGUGUUUGUAGAUCUAGCUUUUGCAUCAACACAUCUUUUGGCACGCCCGGUGGGACCCUGAAUCAGUAUCAAGAUCGACAUGUCGACUACCGAGUUCGAUCAGGAAAAUGUCAUCCCUGUGACGGAAGCCAAUCUCAAGGAUGAGCAGAAGCAAGCUAUUGCAAAAGCCAUGGAGGAUUCCAAGCAGCAGUGUUUGAGGUCCUUCAGCAUCAACAUGAGCGGCGAAGUAAUCCAGAAGGAAGCACUACCGAUGCCUCGGCAGGUUACUUUCGAACGCUAAUCCUGGUAAACUUUAAGAUAUGGUUGAUAAUGCUAUUAACCGUGCCUUGAUCAAUCAAGCUGGUGUGUUGUCCAACACGGUUUUCAAUGCCGUGGCUAGAACUUUCAAAGAAGGACAAUUGCCACCGAAUUAUGCGGGCCCUGCCUAUCAUCAGCCGGGAUCGCCAGUGGUUACGGCUCCAUCGGCUGCUACAGCCGCUGCAGGCACAGAAGCUACUACGCCUCCAAGCACGCUAGGAGUCUCUAAUGCGCAAACCAUGCCGAUGCUGUCCAAUCCAUCAAUAUCAGAUGAUUCGAUCAAGCUUACUACAGAUCUAUUGGCAUCGGCAAUGUCGGGAUCUGUCCCUCCUAAUUGGUGGGGUUUCGGUAUGCCCCCGGAAUACUCGCUGAGGGCACUUGGCACAUCUCAGGCAGCUGACAUGAGAUGCAAGGCUCCUAUGGCAUCGGCACCUCCAAAUAUGCCGAUGAAUCAGAGUCCCCAGUAUACUACAACUACUACUGCAAGACCUUGCACUGGGAAUUCUCAAGCUCCAACAUUCCAGAUGCCUAAUGCAUCGGCAGAUUCAAUGCCGACGCAACAGAGGUUUAUGACUCAGCCAGGGUAUGUCAAUUCAAUGAUGAUGCCCAAUUACCAGACAUCGGCAGGGUCUAUGCCGAUGAAUGCUAAUGGUGGGUGACUUGGACAGCAAGUCUUUCCACAAAUGCCCCAAUAGAAUCAUCAGGUUAUAGGGUUUCAACAAGGACAGAUCUACCCUGGAUUCCAAAACGAAGGGGUGGUCAACCAGCCGAUGAAUCUCGGCCAACAGUUUGGUGGUCAACAUCCUGGUGGUCAGUAGAUUGGCGGUCAGCAGGUUGGUGGCCAAUUGAUCAACCCAAUAUUCCAUGCAGAUCGUGCACCGCACGGACAGUGGAAGCUUACCAGCAGGUGCCGGAUCCGCAACCGCCUCAUCGGCAAGAUGCCGAUGCUUAUUGGGCCGAUAAGAUUACUGAGGUGAUGAGAGACCAAUUUCGGAUAAAACUCAAAGUCAACACUUACUCUUAUCGGACACCAUAUCCUCCUGCUUAUGAUUUGAUCCCACUUCCAAAUUGGUACAAAGUACCAGAUUUUACUAAGUUUUCAGGGCAGGAUGAUACAUCAACCAUGGAGCACGUCAACAGGUUCAUCAUCCAAUGUGGAGAAGCCGCUAACAGGGACGAGUCAAGGGUUCUCUUGUUCUCGUCGUCAUUAUCUGGAUCGGCUUUCACCUGGUUCAUAUCAUUACCUCCCAACUCAGUGAUUACUUGGGCCGAUCUAGAAAAACAAUUCCAUAAGUACUUCUUUUCUGGGGUCCAUGAGAAACAGAUCACCGAUUUGGUCAAAUUGAAGCAGCGCAAUGAUGAAUCGGUUGAAAUUUUUGUGCAAAGGAUAUGGGAAGUCAAGAACAAAUGCUAUAGCCUAGUUCUGGAUGAUCGGCAGCUAGCCGAUUUGGCUUUCCAGGGUUUGUUGCCACGCAUCAGGGACAAAUAUGCAUCUCAGGAGUUCGAAAGUUUAAGUCAUUUGGUGCAGAGAAUUUCUGAUCAAGAUAUCAAGCCUUUUGAGCCCAAGAGAGCAUGGUAUAAGAAGGUAACGUUUGUGGAUGAAGUGGCAAGCUCGAAUUCUGAUGAAGAACUAGUCAUCGACUUAGCAGAAUGGGUGAAAAAUAAGAAGCCGAUGUCUUGCCCUUUUGGGCAUAAAGAGCCUAAGAAGUUCGCAUUUGACGUCACCAAAGCCGAUAGGAUAUUUGACUUUCUACUUCAGGAAGGUCAGAUCAAGUUGUCACCCAAUCAUGUGAUCCCAUCGGCUGAAGAAUUGAAGAAGAUGAAGUACUGUAAAUGGCACAAUGCAACUUCUCACAGCACCAAUGAGUGCAAAGUUUUUAGGCAACAGCUGCAAUCGGCUAUAGAAUCCGGGAGGAUUAAAUUUGAUAGCUCCAAAGCUCAGAAGCCGAUGAAGAUUGAUCAACAUCCUUUCCCAACAAACAUGCUAGAUGCUAAAGGAAAGGCCAAGGUCUUGACAUCAGAAGCAGCGGAGAGAAGUGCAUCGGUGGAUCCUCAGCAUCAGAUCACUACUGCCGAUGCGAAAGGCAAAGGCCUGAUCCAGGAGGGAACUAACUCAGGAAGGCCUCCCCGAUCUGGUAUUGUGAUAACUCACAGAAGACCUCGGGAAACUUGGCAGCAACGUGAGGAUCGGUAUCGGCGCCAGCAAGAGGACCAUCGUUGGGGAAAGGAAAGACACCGACAGGAGUGGAAUCGGCAUAGGGAUCACUGGAAUUGCCCAUUCUUCAUUCACUGUUGGGAGGAAAAUAUCAAGCUUCCUACUGUCAGAGAUUGUCCUGAGUGCAAUGGUUAUGAUCGGUAUGACAGAUCUGAUCGGCGCUAUCACGAUGACGGUCGGCGAUUUGAUGGGCCGAUUAGGGGGAGAGCGUCUGUCCACGAUCGGCUGGGGGGCAGGCUCAGUGUGCACGACAGGCUCGGCGGUCGUGUUGGAUAUUUCCCAAGGAACCAGGAAGAACUUGAAGAGAUGGCUAAUGCUCGGGCUCCCGAUGACUUCAUAUUUUGCAGGGAUGCCAAUACUUAUCGGAUGGAGGCUGUUGACGGUUCUUAAGUAUCAAUUUUAAUUAUCAAAUAAACAAGAGAAAGGACCAAUAUGCAACCAACACCUAGAAUUAGGGUUUGAUCUGACAGAAUUCCACGAGUUUUGUUGUUUAUCUAUUUCUGCAGGGGGUUAUUAGGAAAUAAGGAAGAAAGGCCCACAUGUUGGGAUUACAUAGAGAUAUCAACGCACCGCACGAUUUUCUACCAUCUAGAAGACUCAAGAAGCCACGGGAAGAAGACGGAGGCCGAAAGGGGCCAGGCCCAGGGCGCCCGCCCUGGUGACCUGGGCGCCCGCCCCCUGCCGAAUCCAGUUCGGGACUCUCUUCACACGGGAUAUUCCACCGACCUAUUGGAUCAAGGAAAACAUAGUACCACCUCGCCUACCGACCCAAAAACGCAUAGAAGGGAAGGACUAUAUAAGGAGACCCCCCUGGCCCCUGGAGAAGACAUGAAGAAAUUAUCAUAGAGACUGAGGGGUGCCCUCGAAGGAAAACCUCUUCUCUAAUUAAUAUUUCUUUUUAGGCUUAGCAACCAAUGUAAGGUAGAAAUAGAUCUUCUAGUUUCUACUAGAUUGAGAGAGAUAGAGUGGAGGUGUAGAUUGGAGGAAGCCCGGCCUGUCGGUGUCUACUCCAAGCUUGUACCUGCGGGAUCAAGUUCUCCUAACCCGAAGCUUGCUCCUAGGAUUCUUCAGUAUUUCGACUUCUAAAUUCUAGUAAGUUCUUGUUUUAUUGUUCUUAUGGUUUAUGAGUUUACUUUAAUCUCUUCGCGUAGAGUUAGAGUAAUCAUUGCUGGUGUAAACGUGGUGUUUAGGCUGGGGUACUCAUAGAUAUUCCCUGACUAGCUGGACCGUGGUAGUAGUGAGGAACGUGACAAUUCCGAGUUACCUUUGUAGAUCACAUCUCGAUAGCAGGAAGGAUAGGGUUUAUAGGUGCGGGUUGAACAUCCUUUGUGGUGUCUAGAUUCCGUUAGCCUCCCCAUUAGAACAGUAGAUCAUCCUUACCAAGGUUAGAAGGAGACUACGGUUGCAGUCUUCUCUAUUUAUCACUCACAUCGAAAGACAUUCUUUGUGCCUAAAGGUUAGUAGUAAGUAUCUGGACUUCUGGAGAAGAGGGAGAAGAUUCUAUAACAGAACCGACCAAAUUAUAAGAGAUUAAGCCUAAUAGUGACCAUUUGCAUAGUCAAACCAUCGAGCUUAAGCCCAUAUAAUCCCGGUAGUCCAUGAAAUCUCGAAGGAUUUCAAACCACAUAUCAUACAUACAGCCAAGAUCGUAAUAAGUUUAGCGGUCGCCAUCCACAAAUACAUCUAGAUUACAACAUUCUUAAAAUACAUCGGAGUUCUUAAAGUUAUUACAAACCAAGUUCACAGGUAGCGGAAGCUUCAUAGUUCGAAAAUACAACACACACACUUAGUCUGAUACAGUGCCAUAAUUCGGUCAUUCCCACAAAAGCAAAAGAGAAGACGGAGUGACCAUCGCCCUUGGUCUAGUCAUCACCCAUGGCUGGGUACAGACAGAGGAUGUAAUAACCAUAGUACAUUUGACCAUCUGCAAAACAACAUGGGAGUAGAACCCUGAGUACGAGAAUGUACUCAGCUAGACUUACCCGUCAUAAAUUAAAAUAAAGACUCUUCAAGGAUCAUGAAGGCUAUAUAGUGGGGUAGCUGACAACCUUUUUGCAUAACCGCAAGAUUCUAUUAACAUACCCUACAUAAAUCUUUCUUCUUUUAAUUUGCUCAAGUUGACAGUAUCAAUACCUAUUAUCUAGGUUUGCACCUGCACUAUUACAAGCAAGUAUAGCGAUAUGAUGGUACCUCAUCAUAGCAUUCAUAAAACCAUUUAUCAUUAUAACCCAAGUGUUCCAUAGUCCUUACUACGAGGACGAAGCUCAUGUCAAGUGCUCACUAUCCAGGAGCGAUGGUGAUUCGAAUCGAUUUCUAACCAGCUGGUGAGGUAUUCCCCACACAAACCACACUCACUGAUCAAGUGAGCUACAGAUCACCGUAUUACACUAUCUAGGACCAAUUCGCGGGUUCGGCAGGCACCGCCAGUACCCGAGGACCGUUCCGGCGAUCGAGGUAUCCAAGGUAUACCAAGGUUGCGCGCCGCACCCUCGUCGUUCUCCUCAACCAUCACCAAUACAGCGCAUGGCGGCUCGAUUCCCGGCCCGGAUAGUGUUCAGGCUUCGCAGUUGGAACGACUUAUCCUUCCAGCUAAGUGUGGGGCAUGCGUUCAACAUGACAAGAGGGCCGUCAACGAUCGGUCCUUAAUCGACACAGGCAGGGGCACUAUGGUCAACCCACCAUAAGACCCUGCCCGGUCUCCAAUUCCAUUCCACACUUGGUUAUUCUUUUCCCGAAGCAAUCACUGCUUAACCAAGCAGGUAUCCACCUAUAUCUCGCAGGUGACAGGAAAUCACCCGACUUCUACCGGACUAAGCAAUCUAAGCAUAGACUCCGUACCUAUCUACAUAGGACAAGGUAGGUAAACGAGUGGUGAUAUCAAGGAGUGCAUAGGCAUCAACGGUAUCAAGCAAUUCCUAUCACUUAAAUGCAGUAUAGAAGAACAAGCAUAAUAUAUCGUGUAAGUUAGCGAGAAUAAGGAGACUUAGAAUGCUCCGGGGCUUGCCUUUCUCAAACGUGCUGGGUCGGUGAUCCGGACACUCCUGUAGCUCUUCUCCGGGUUCCUGUGCUUCCAGAGGUUCCUGCUACUAGGUCUCCUCGGGCUCCUCCGGUCCCACCUCGUUCUCCUGCGAGCCUGUAUGAUGCAUGUGUGCUCAUGAGUAGAGUGCGAGAUGCCCGGGGUGCAAUUCUCAUGCGAUAGAAUACCAGAUGACUAUGAUAUGAUGUAUGGAUGAUUUAUGUGAUCAUUUACAAGGUAGUCAACAUCCUCCAAGAACAUGUAAUUACACUAAGCAUCCAUUUCCUUCUUUCCUACAGAAUUAUUUUCAGGUGUAACCAGCAACUCACAAGAUCCUUCAAAGAUACACCAAAUCCUCUUUUAUUCUAUUUAACCAAUAUAUAACAAUUCAUAGUUUCUUUAUUCAUUUUUAGACCCCUCAAAAUUUUCAUGCAGUUCUGUUUAUCAAUAAUUUCUACAAAAAUUAUAGGAGACUAUCAGUCAAGCAUAAAGUCUACCAUAAAUUUUUCAUAAUUUUUGGAUACUUAUUUUGAGCUACAAAAAUCACAAGAUUAUUUAAUAAAGGCAAGUACAAUUACUCUACUGUGUUAUAAGUGUCAAACAGCAGAUUUCAUAUUUUUAUAAUUUGUCUAAUAUCAUAAGAAACACCCACAAAAAUUACCAGAUUAAUUGCAUGAUCCAAAUUUUUAUUAAAAAUCAUAAACCACUGCCAUGCAAGCAUUUAAAUCACUAUAAAUUCAUUUAUACACCAAAUAAUGUGUAGCAACAUUUUUCCAGUGACCAAACAUACAUGCAGAGCCAACAAAACAAGUUGCACAUUUUUCUGAGUCAUAUUUUAAUUACUAUACAUUUUAUAAAUCUAGCAAAAACAUGGAUUAAAUAUAAUUGCACAGAAAAAGUUACUUAAACAUGACAUGCAACCAUUCCAUGCUAUAGAUCUAGAAACAUAGAACACACCAAAAUUUAUUUCAUGAAUUUUGGAGCUAUGGAUCUCAAGAUAUGGAAUUUAGAAUAUUUAAACCAUUUUCUGGAAAAACCUUUAAAACGGAAAAACGACUUAAAACGCUAAGUGCACCCGGAUUCAAACCCUUGGAAUCACUGACAUGCGGGACCCGUGAGUCAGGUGACCCCACUUGUCAGCCACCCCACGACUCCGCGGCCAAAGAUCGGCCGGAAUCUCACCGCCGGUGAGGUUUCCGGCGACACCGGGAACACCUACGGCUUCGCGAACACAGGACGAGUCCAACCGUGCCCUUUUUGGCACCUGACGAGCACCGGAACUACCUCGCCGUCGAGAAUGGCGGACGCGGCGGUGCUGCUCGCCGUGGUCCGGCCCUUUCGCGGCGGUAGAGCGUGGGCUAACGACGGGGAAAGGUGCGCAAAGCGAAGGCGAAGCUAACGCACCUACGAACGCAAGCAAAGGCGGAGAGGAGAGGGAGAACCGCGCGAGCCGAGAGGUCGCCGGAGCUCCGACUUACUCCGGUGAGCCGAGAGGUCGCCGGAGCUCCGACUUACUCCGACUUACUCCGGUGAGCUCUCUCAAGCGGAGGGCGAGAGCGCGAGUGGAGGCGCGCAAAUGGCGGCGGGGGCAGCGGCGGACGCGGCCGGGGGCUCCUGGUGGCCGACCAGGGCGUGUCCACGCUACCGCCUGCUCGCCACGCGGCGGCCAGGCUCUGCCGGUGCGCCACGGCGGCACGGCGCGGCCGUCUGCGCGCGCGGACGCGACGCGGGCGCUGGCGCUGGCACGGGGAAGGGGGUGAGCGCGGGCGGGCUGGGCCGGCUUCGGCCAGUGGGCCAGAAGUGAGGUCGCGGCCUGCUAGCGCCCCCCUUCUCCUUUUCUAUUUUUUUUGAAUUUUUAUUCUCAAACUCCUUCUAAAUUCAUUUGGACCAUUUAAAAAUCAUUUUCACCUCUUUCUCCCUAAAGCAAAGUUGUUCCAAAACAAAAAUCCUACAACUUUGUUUUAAUAAGCAAGACCAAAUUCCCAAUAGAAUUUGAAUUACAAAUUAAAACUAGUUCUAGGUUUUCAAAUAAAUUCAUUUUGGGGAUUUUUGUAUAAAUUCCAUUUCUCAAAUUCUAUGGCUCCAAAAAUUGCACAAAAAAUAUUCUUAAAUCUUCUUGCACACAAUUCAACCUAGUUUGAAUAUUCCACAAUUUUAGAGGCAAGCAUCCUAUUUUUAACAUAUUUAAAUCACAUGGAAUAAAGCACAUAAAAUCACAUUUUGGAUGAAUGACAUGCUCAUGUGAUGCUAUGCUUGAUGAGAAUGCUUAUGCAUUGCAUUGGCAAGACUAAGUGCAUGCUUAACACCUAGGGUGUUACAGAUUCCACCGGGAUCGGUGACCUCGGAGGAGGGGAAGGUGUUGCUGUUCUCUGGCGCUUCGCUUGGGUUCCGGUACUCUUGGAGCCUUUUCUCUUUGGUUGGCUGGACUGGGGGGCAUCGGUAGUCGUACUUCUGGUCUUUGUCGAUGUGCCAGUAUGCUGAUACAACAAUAAGAAGUUUUGUGAGUACAAGUACAACGGGGUGUAAGAAUGGAAUCGGUAUAAGUUGAAGAAUUAAAAACUUUACCUUGAAGGCUUGUGCUAAGGCAGUGGCGGCUACUGAUGGGGAUGUCUUCGUUCGCCUGGUGGUGACUUUCUUGAGACGCACACCUCGAUGCAUUAUAGCAGCCAAGGUGGGAGCGUUGUUGUCGAUCAAGGAGAUCGGGCCCGAUGGAAGAAGCUCAAUCGGCUUGCCACUUCUGCUGACCGAUGGUGGUGUGUUAUCAACCAGUAAUACAACACAGAAAGUGAGUUACUAAUGGAAAUAAAAGUGAUAGGAUUAAAACAUCGGUUUAGAAGUACUUACAGUGUUAUCGGGGACUUUGUAUUGAGGGUCAAUCAUGCCACGGUAUGUAAGAGCCGAUCUGCAGAACAGGUGCUCUUUCCAUUCUUCCCACCACUGUUUGUAUGCCUGAGUGAUGAAGAGAGCUGGGAUCCAAGCCGAUAGAUCGACAUCUGUAUCGGCGUUUGGUGGAAGCUGGGCUACCCUGAUCCAUUCUAGAUGGCUGGUGAUGAUCUCCCUCGGCUUUAUCACAUCGGCGUUGCAAAGUGCAAUCGGCAGUUGGCCGAAAGCCAGUUGACGAGCUAGUGCUGAUGGAUUGUCGAACUCAUAAGUCAGAUUGGAAGCUUUUCCACUGCCGAAGAAGUUCACCGGUAUAGCUCUGGGAGUAACAAUUGCCAUCAUCACCUCGCGGUCCUUGUUGAGAGCGUCAUUGAAGGGAUGGAAAGUCAGAGGGAAUCUGGUGUCUGGAUCUUCAUAGGGCAUCCAUGCCCGCUGUUCUCUGGUGAAACCCUCAUAUAAAGUUUGGAAGAAUCGGCUAACCUGGUCUGCAUUGCCACCUGUGCCAGGUAAAACUAUGGCGGCUUUGCCAAAGUUCAGAGGGGAACAAGUUGCCGAUUCUUCUUCACCCAGUUCGUAAUCCUCGGCUAUGUCCCUAGGGAAGUGUUGUGCAAAGAGGUCAAACUCGAGGCGCUUGUGCAUAUGAAGACUAAGCCACAUAUUGAUGAACCACCAGGGACCCCCUAAGUUGCCGAUGGGUUGACCAAGCAGUAGUUUCUGGGCUACCUGGUGGAGAAGGUGAUAAGCUGACCCAAGCAAGUAUCGGCCAAGAGGAAAUCGGCCGCCAUUGGCUAAUCUUUCUGCUGCCGAUAAGUAAACCGAAGUUGGUCCAGCCGAUGACUGAGAUAGAAAUGUUGCAUUAGCAUUGGCUCUAUUAUUGUCGACGAAAGCUAGUCGGCAGUCUACCUUGGGGUAUACCCUUGGUAGUAGUUUAUCGGUAGAUAGGUGCGCAAACUACGAUCUCGAUGGUGAUGCAAGAUAUAGACAAGGAUUUUAUCCAGGUUCGGUCACCGUGUGGGCGUAAUACCUACGUCCUGCGUCUGAUUGUAUUGUUGUGUGUUGAAUUGAAUUGUUUAAGGGGGGUCCCUUGCCUCUCAUUAUAUAGUCCAGAGGGUAGGGCUACAAAUCUGGAAACUAAUCCUAGUCGGUUACAAUCGCUAUAGAUAACACGAUAUCAAUUCCUAUUCUAACCGACUAGAAUCAUGCUUGAUCUCCACGUCUUGUUUCCUUGUGCGAAACUCUGAGUAGUUGGAUCAAGCCUCGAACUGUCUCGUAAUGGACCAAGUCUCCUAGCCCAAGUCUAGCCGUAAGGGUAUAGGGGUUUAUACCCCCACAGCUAGUCCCCAAGCUCUAUGUAUUAGGAUGUAACACAAAGUCUUGAAGUUCUUCGACCAGUGAGGCUUGACAUCUCUCACCAGUAUGAAAAACACCCAAACAGUUGACAGUUGAUCAAUGCCGGCACUGAAGAAGCAGGUUGUUCAAAUAAUGCAUGGUGCUCUUCGAGAAAAAAGAUUUCUUUCCUAAUGAAGUGUGCCCACUUUACUUUUUGUAAAAUGUAUACACUCACAACAAGCAAGCAUAUUCACCGCAAGGUGAAGUGUGCCCUCUUAGUCCACGAGCUUGGUAGUAGGUGGCGUAGUCACGUGGUACCAGGGUCUAAAAAGGAAAAUCCACAUAGAAAUUCUAAUACUGAGAUGCAUCGCCAGAUGCAUCGUACUAAUGUAGUCCCCGAUCUUGUUGGAAGGCGAAGUAUGAGCCUUGUAACAAGGUUUGAAAAAUAAUACUAUCCCUCAAAUGUGUGCGAAGUUCAAGUCAAACAUAAUCCGUAAUCAGCGUGAGCCGCUGCUUUGUGUGCGAACAAAUCGACCAGUCCCCGAGCAUAUCCUACUCGGUGGUCGGUGAAGUUCGUAGAUUUUAUUUGGACGGGCUAGUCGACCAGUCCCCGAGCAUACCAUGCUCAGUGGUCGGUGCAGUCCCCAGAUUUCAAAUGGGCGGGCUGGUCGACCAGUCCCCAAGCAUACCAUGCUCGGUGGUCGGUGCAGUCCCUAGAUUUCAAAUGGGUGGGCUGGUCGACCAGUCCCUGAGCAUACCAUGCUCGGUGGUUAGUGUAGUCCCCAGAUUUCAAAUGGGCGGGCUGGUCGACCAGUCCCUGAGCAUACCAUGCUCGGUGGUCGGUGCAGUCCCCAUAUUUUUGGAUGAAUCCAAACAGACUUUAUAUCAUCAAUAAAUUUGUUAUUUAAAUUUGGGAAAUGUCAUUUAUCUUCAUUAAUUGGCGACAUGACAAGGCGUCUGGCCAUCUCGUCAGUCCGGCGCAUGAAAAUGGAUGCCUUCUGAUGGCACAGCCGCUCAUCACGCGUACCAAGAAACAUUAAUACUAAAAAGUCCACUGAAUUUAUUGCAACAAAUACCAAAAGUCUAAACGCCAUUGCCGCCGCAAAGACUGCACAUUUCCCGAAAAAUCGGGAAGUGGCGAGGGUGGUGCCGUUGUUAUAAAGAGUCCAUCGGUGUGUUCUUAGAACUUUACCCAGCGGUUGCGUACUAGCCUCCUGCCCUCAUCACCUCAUUGCCUUCUGCCUUCAUCCUCAUUGCCCACCAGAUCCAGUUCGAGGUUCUCUACACGGAAAAUGGCCAAGAGCGACGUGAAGAAGAGGUCCGAGAUGAUGGCCAAGGAGUGGAUAAAGUCUCGGUGCACCACCAGGUCUCUCAAUGACCUCGUUGAGAUGGGGCUGCUGCACAACCAGGAGCUUGGCGGCUAGAGGGCGCCAGAAGGAGAAAGCUACCCAGAUCCCGAGCUAGUGAGAUUGUUGUAUUUGAAGAUUUUUUCAAGAGGGGCUUUGGGGUGUCGGUUCAUCCUUUUUUCUAGGGUUUGCUUCUAUACUAUGAGAUCGAGAUUUGCAAUCUUCACCCGAACUCUAUUCUUCUUGUGGUGACCUUCAUUCACUUCUGCGAGGCUGUUGACGGUCCUUAAUGCUCACAUUUAACCGUCAACUAAUCAUAGAAAAGGAUCCAAAUGCAACCAACACCUAGACUUAGGGUUUUAUCUGACAGAAUUCCACGAGUUUUGGUGUUUGUCUAUUUCUGCAUGGGGUUAUCAGGAAAUAUGGAGGAAAGGCCCACACGUCGGGUUUACAUAGAGAUAUUAACGUGCCGCGUAAUUUUCUAUCAUCUAGAAGACUCCAGAAGCCACGGGAACGAACGAGAAACUGAGAGGGCUCAAUGACAGGGCGCCCGCCCACCUUCAGUGUCCAAUUCGGACCCGUUUCGCGAAUCACACUCCACCGACCUAAAGAAUCAAGGACAACCAUGCGAUUAAUGUCGGUUUGAUUUGACGGCCCAGAUUCAUCUGAAAAGACUAUAUAAGCAAGGCCCCCUGGCCCCUGGAGAUCAUACCUCUUCUACAGAAUCAAAUCUAGGCUUUCAAUUCUUCAUCCAAGUAGAGAGGAUCCCUCUACUCUAGUUCAUCUAGUUCUAGUUCCUCUAGUUUUAGUUCUAGUUAGUUCUAGUUGUAAUCUAGAAAAUAGGGAGAGAGAAGAGGAGAGCGGAGGAGGAGCCGGAUUUGUCGGAUCUUCCUCAACAUUAUACUUUUGCUGCAACUGGUUCAUUCUUCAUCGUUCUCCAAGUUCUACAAUUCAUAAUUCCUGAGUUCUUUAAUUACUUUUAUUUACAUUCAAGUUAUUUAUUGGAUCCCACUUACAUCAAGUGCUCUAGUCUUUAUAACGCUAGAGUAAUAAUUAAUAGAUUAGACAUGGUGUUUAGUCUUGCAAUUACCCGAAAUUGCACCCAAUCCCGCGGAUUGUUGUGGUAGCCCUAGGGUAGUGACAGCCCUAACGGUCGACGUAUUCCACCUCGUUCGGAUCGGUGUUUGUAGGCCGUAGUCAGAGCUUCCUAGCCCCCUUCUCAUCUCUUUCUGUGGUUAGUGUUAUGAUGUCCUGAAAUAAAUAAUCUUUGAAGUAAUUCUGGAUUCUUAGAUCAACUAGAGAACUCUCAGGAAACUUCCUCUCUUCCCACCAAAAAUAAUUAUAUAGUUAUCCUUGGGCGAUCUUGAAUCUUAAUUAGUACACUCACGUUCCCUGUGGAAAAUCGAUACUCUGGAAUACUCUCGGGUGAAAGCUACAUCGGUAUCCGUGCGCUUGCGGAUUUUUCUGUUUGCGUUUAAAAUACCCUACAAGCUUUCUCGCGCCGUUGCCGGGGAACGGUAGCUGUGCUAGUUUCGAGCCAAGUCAUCCGUGUAUCCUUUUUGUUUUCUUUUUACCACACUCACCUUACCAUUUUUCACCAUACCACAUGGAUUUCACUCGAAACAUUAAUGACCAUGGAAUUUAUUUCAUAGCCACUUCAUUUACUCCAUGCUCAUAUGUAACAUCUUCCCAAUCCAUUGGUCUCUCCAACAUCACCACAUUCGAGAACUCCAACCCCCUCUUCCUUUCUAUUUAUGAAAACUUUAAAAGGGCGGUUGUCGAUGCAUAUGUCUAUAAGAAAUAUUGCAGAUCUCGUUGAGUUAAUCUUGAUAUAGGUCAGCGUUGGAGGGGAAACCACUUCGCUGACAUAAAUUGAUGGUUUCCCAAUGACAAGCUUAGUGUCCUAAAAUAAGCACUGAUCAGAGCGUCACAUGAGCUUUUAAUUUUUUGCAACAUUACCUUGUGUUUUGAGCAUAUAAGUAUAGUUGUGAAAAAUUUCCUCGGGUAUUCUUGUCACUAACCUUUCCAGGAUUGGAGCAAGAAGAUCGGAUGAAUGACAAGCACAAGGUAUGUCCAACCAAUCAUCACACAACAUUGAAUUAAAUUCAUCCAAACUUGAAUUUUGCAAAAUUCAUGCUUGGGGGAGUACUUUACAUAAAAACAUCAUUUGCCAUGUUGCUAUGUUGGUUGUCCCUACCUUUGAGACAUGCUCAAUUUGUUAAAUACUAAUCACACUACUUCAUCUCCACUUGAGUAGAUCUCUAUAAAUGCUCUCAUGCUACCUUUAUUUGCUUUAGUAUUUGUCUAGGUUUGGAGUAGUUUCAUUUAUCUCUUAAUUAAGCAUGGUGCUUAGUUUAGGACUGACGAUCUUACUUCCAAGGGAUUUUAAAUUAAGCAUGGUGCUUAGGUUAAGAUGUCCUCCUAAAUCAAAUUAGACAUGGUGUCUAGGUUGAUUUUUGAGCCGAUAGUAUGCUAUAGUAGAUAUAGGAUAUUUUGUUGGACUAACCUCUGCAGGAAAACUUUCAAUAUCGCCCUGGGAAGUCCUGAGAUAAACUCACAUUGGAGACAAAGAGAGAGACACAUGAAGGUUAACAAUUUACACAAGAAAGGCAUAGCUCACAAGAGAUGAUCCAUGGAGAGUGCUACAAACACGAUGCACAACCGCUAAGAAAGGAAAGCUUCCACAAGGUGAUACUGUACCAUCAUUCUUCAAGUAAGGUAACAUCUUAAGGUACUUGACUAUCACUUCUAUAAGCUUCUCCUUGGUUAUAGCGUUCACAUGAAUAAAAGAGACAAACAUGUGUGAUUUACAACUCUAGAUUAACCAACCCAAUCAAUUCAAUAUGUUUAGUACUUCCACCGUUGUGAUCCCACACUCCUUAUCAUAUGAGCUAAAAUGUUGCACACGCAAUCUUUGGAAGAUAUAUAAAAAACAUAAGUAUAGAUAGAUUAUCUUUCCAUUAGGUUGAAUGAUCUGAUCUAACAAAUGUUUUAAAUGCUACACUCAUGAUCUUAUUAUUCAUCAACUUUGUCUUGCUCACUAUGCUUAAUGUUAGAGAAGAACAAAUACACUUUUGGUUCUAUUGGUGUUUUCCACCAACAGGGCCCAUGCACUUGAUCUCUGUCUUGUCUCUAUGAGCAGGUACACUACGAGCAAAAUAUGAUGGACUUUUACAACUCCUAGACUCCACCAAGUGAAGAACCUAGAUCUACGAGGACAAACACACUGGAGAUACUGGACACUCAGGCAAUCACUGCCCUGAGAUGCUUGAGGACGUAACUACUAGAGUAACCCCAUUGUGGAAGUAAUUACUGACCUUCUGCCGGUCAAGAGGCGAUCCAGGACGCACCGUCAUCCCGACCUCCUUCGGCAUGGUCAACUUCCCAGAAGCACUCUGCGAUUUAGGCGCUAGCGUCAACAUUAUGCCUAGGGUACUCUAUGAAAAAUUCUUUACACAUCCUUUAUUAGAAACAACCAUGUGUUUGCAGCUUGCAGAUCGUACGCAAAGUUUCCCAAAGGGAAUAUUGAAGAACCUCUACGUCCGAGUUGGUACCUUAUACGCUCCAGCAGACUUCGUGGUGAUAGAGACUGAUACUGAUGAGAGGGCACCCAUCAUUCUAGGGAGGCCAUUCCUGAACACCUCGGGAGCUGUCAUCUACGCUAGUGCUGCCAAGAUCAGUUUCUACAUCAAGGGAAGGAAGGAGAUGUUUUCCUUCAAGAACAAGACUGCACAAAUCCUAGAGCAAUCCCGACAUGAACCAGGGAAGAGAACCAACAGGAGGAACAGAAACAAGCAAAUGUGGACCGAGUCAGCUAAGAUGCUCACUGCAGUUCAAGGAGGUCAAGAUCGUCGAUUUAAGUCACCGUUCCUGACCAAAAAGGAUGACCUAGGUAUGCCAAGCAUCCAGUGCUCCAUUAAUGGAUACAACUUCUAGAAGACACUUUGCGACACCGGGUCAGGCGUCAACAUAAUGGCCGCAGUCACCUAUCAGCUCCUCUUCGGAACCAUGCCCCUAAAACCGACAUAUACCCAGCUCCACAUGGUAGAUCAGACAUUUUGAAAGGUUGAACAUGAGUACGAUCCACCCGUCUUCCUUGGGAGACCGUUCCUCAGCACCGUUAAAGCAAUCAUCUACAUUGGAACCGGAGAAGUCCACAUGCACUUCCCCUCUGAGAAGGUACACCGCUAUUUUACUGACCGUAACUAUAUAGUUGAAGACUCUAAGCAGGUCAGGACAAGAAGAAGACGACGCAACCGCAAUCAGAGAAGGCAAAUCAUCAAGGACGGAUGGGCAGACUAAGAAGGAGAAGUGGUAAUGUCUGAAGACAUACAGCUUGAACAGAACUGACUUGAGGAGACCGUAGCAUCGAGUCACGUGUGGAGAGAGAAGAUAGUCAUACACGAAAAGCAGGCGCUGCCGGAACCACCGACUACGCCAUCCAGCGAAUCCCAGGACGAUUGAGAAAAUGGAGAGUCCCGUUCGGAGGACUUGAAAACACUGAACACCUUGCCAAGAGGUAAACUUGGUAGUUAUCCUUUUCCUUUCAAUUAUUUAAAUUAGUUUGCUUAGUUAAUCAGGUUCAUAUCAUCUUGAAAAGAAAAUAAAAAUGUUAAAAACAGUAAGCCCCAUGUGAGUAAACGAGUGGCAUAAAACCCAUAAGUACAUUCACUGUGGUGGCAUAAAAGUAAAAUAAAUAUUUUUUUCUGUUCUAUAAAAAUGAAAAUAUAAAAAUAAAUUUAUGAUCCUACCAAAGAGAGUAACAUUUAUUGAGGAGGCUCAAUAUGAUAAAGGCUAGAUUUUUAUGCUAACACUUAACUAGUUCUACAAAGCUUUGUUGUCUAUUUGAGCUCCACAGAAUUCAAGGAUCAAAGAAGAAUAGCAGAUGGAGGACAUCUUAAUCGCUUGCAGGGUGCUGCCGACAAUCAAAUACACCUCCGUCACCUGCUAGCUACAUCAGAAGAAAUUAUGUCAAAAUCCAGCUUGGUGGAGAGCACCCCCAUUUAUCCAGCUAAGUGUUCUACUCAUGUUUAUACUUUACUCAAAUAAUAAAAAGAUGCAUAAUCAUAAAAACCCAAAUAAAGAUUUUGUGCUUAUAUAUAUCUUUGCUUAGUUUGCUAAAUAAAUAAAUAAAUAAAUAAAGUUUGCUAUGAACCCUCAUGAUAAGCUCUCACAUGGAAAUGAUGAAUAGUUGCUCUACCAUGACUAGUUCUCAAAAAUUGAAAUCUCUCUCAAGUUUAGGCAUGACUGUUAUUAAUUAAAAUUUGCUCUAAACCUGAACUUGUGGGAAGAUUACUUGAUCUAAAGUCUAAGUCGUUAACGGAUACGAUAUGGGAAGGUUGAGCUGCUGUUUAUCUGUUCCUAGAGAUUCUAGAAUUUUGGAGAAUUUUAUCUUUGAAAAUCUUUAAAAUAUCACAUGAUGAAUUCCUGUAUGAUGAGAGUUUAAAUUCCUACCACAGCCAUAUAUACAAGCUUGCUAGACUUUGAGCCACACAUUUACUUUUUACUGCUUAUGAGCAUUGAGUGUGGUCAAGCUGUGUAGACCCUUAGGAGCUUGUCAUGUGGUUAAAUCAAGAUUCACUUGCACGUUCACUCACACAUGCUGCUCCUACUCCGGAAGUACGCAUCCACAUAUAUCCACCCAUUUCCAUCUCUAGAACCACCCAAAAAUAUUCUACUCUUAAUCCGGGAGAGAAUAACCAAAAACAUUCUCCUAUUUUUGUUUUCCCCUAUGAAAUAAAUGCUCAAGUUAUUUCAGUUACUACCACUUGCUACAUUAUUUAAAGAGGUGAGUGCUCUAAAAAAAGAGAAGAUACGAGGAAAUAAAAAGGGGCAAGUGCCCGGAACCUCGAAAGAAAAGAAAAAGUGAGACGAGAGGUAAAAAUGGACAAGUGUCCGAUAGUAGAAUUAGGGGUACAAGAUACCCACCUGAGAGAAAAGAAAAAGAAAUUAUAGAGCAUCUCAUUCUCCUAAAAAAGUUUCAAAAGAGCAAGAAAGGUAUGUAUCCCCUGAAAAGAGCACAAGUAGAAUUAGACGUUCACCAUUGUUAUCACCAUCAUCACCAUACACCAUUCAUUCGCCACACAUGCACAUCUUGAUUUGACUUAUUGACUUCUUCUUCUGGAUCUAUGGUUUGACUAUGCAAUAAAUGUCUUGUAAGUAUGUAUUAGCUGUCUCCCACCUAUGAGCUCCAGAUAUCAGAACCUUAUUAGAGUAGGGUGAGAGAGAAGGCAAUGCCACUAUAUCUCAUACCAAAAAUACCACAUACUUUUAGAGAAGGCAUAUACCAUUACUGCCUUGGUAAGGAUCCAGAAAUACCACAAAAGAGAGACUAGAGAGAGUCAUACAAGGAAUCUCUGAGUUUUAUUUGAAAAUCUGCAAAAACUCUAGAGCUAUAGUUAAUCGAAGAACAAGAGACAUGGCACUUGACUAGACCGUUCUAUCUUUUAACUGCUCAAGACAUGAGUGACGGUUGCAAGCCCCAUGGUGGAAGGUAAAAUGAGUAAGUUUAAAUCUUAACAGCUUACCCUAACCUAGAGAUGAGAUCUUGUUUGAACGCAUGUGUACCUUUAAGGCAUGAAACCACUGCAGAUCUCUUAAGUUCAUCUUUGCUCAGGGACGAGCAAAGGUUAAGCUUGCGGGAGCUUGUUAACGGUCCUUAAUGCUCAAUUUAACCGUCAACUAAUCAUAGCAAAGGAUCCAAAUGCAACCAACACCUAGACUUAGGGUUUUAUUUGACAGAAUUCCACGAGUUUUGGUGUUUGUCUAUUUCUGCAGGGGGUUAUUAGGAAAUAUGGAGGAAAGGCCCACACGUCGGGUGUACAUAGAGAUAUUAAUGUGCCGCGCAAUAUUCUAUCAUCUAGAAGACUCCAGAAGCCACGGGAACGAACGGGAAGCCGAGAGGGCUCAGGGACAGGGCGCCCGCCCUACUCCUUUGGGCGCCCGCCCACCUUCAGUGUCCAAUUAGAACCCAUUUCGUGGAUCACACUCCACCAACCUAAAGCAUCAAGGAAAACCGUGUGAUUAAUGUCGGUUUCAUCCGACAGCCCAGAUUCAUCCGAAAAGACUAUAUAAGCAAGGCCCCCUGCCCCCUGGAGAUCAUACCUCUUCUACAGAAUCAAAGCUAGGGUUUCAAUUCUUCAUCCAAGUAGAGAGGAUCCCUCUAGUUCAUCUAGUUCUAGUUCUAGUUCCUAUAGUUCUAGUUCUAGUUAGUUCUAGUUGUAAUCUAGAAAAUAGGGAGAGAGAAGAGGAGAGCGGAGGAGGAGCCGGAUCUGUCGGAUCUUCCUCAACAUUAUACUUUUGCUGCAACUGGUUCGUUCUUCAUCGUUCUCCAAGUUCUACAGUUCAUAAUUCCUGAGUUCUUUAAUUACUUUUAUUUACAUUCAAGUUAUUUAUUGGAUUCUCGCUUCCAUCAAGUGCUCUAGUCUUUAUAACGCUAGAGUAGUAAUUAAUAGAUUAGACGUGGUGUUUAGUCUUGCAAUUACUUGGAAUUGCACCCAAUCCUGUGGAUUGUUGUGGGAGCCCUAGGGUAGUGACCGCCCUAACGGUCGACGUAUUCCACCUCGUUUGGAUCGGUGUUUGUAGGACCGUAGUCAGAGCUUCCUAGCCCUCUUCUCAUCUAUUUCUGUGGUUAGUGUUCUGAUGUCUCAAAAUAAAUAAUCUUUGAAGUAAUUCUUGAUUCUUAGAUCAACUAGAGAACUCUCUGGAAACUUCCUCUCUUCCCACCAAAAAUAAUUAUAUAGUUAUCCUUGGACGAUCUUGAACCUUAAUUACUACACUCACGUUCCUUGUGGAAAAUCGAUACUCUGGAAUACUCCCGGGUGAAAGCUACAUCGGUAUCCGUGCACUUGCGGAUUUUUCUGUUUGUGUUUAAAAUACCCAACAGAGGCGUUUGUGGGGAUUGAGCGGCAUUUUGAUUUAUUCCGUUACCUGUUCUGCCUGAGGAAGAAAGGAGCAGUUGGAGGAUCUAACAUUGCAGGUGGAGUAUACCUCAAUCUCCAUGACGGGAUUAAAAACCGCUACCUCAGCUGCCCCUGGAACACAUCCCUGACUGAAUGGUACAGGAGGUGGUUCUACAUCUGGGAGGAGCCAGGCAGCGUCACAUUCUGUGAUGUCGGCUAUGUACCCGAGAAGAGGGUCAGCUAGACAGAUCGACCAGAGUACACUGGUCAGGUAGAGGAGCUGAUGACUCUGAUUGACUGGUCACGCGUGGACGGGCCUAGAGUGGUCGAGAACUUCCUCAGCCGACGAGUCAUGCCAUGCCAGAGGAGGGUGCACUCGGCAUACGAGUACCAGGGCGGCCAAGACUCGACCAGGAUGCACCGGGACAACCUAGAGAAAGCCGGAGAUCCAGCGAAGGAUCAACGAGCUGUUCAACUUGGCCGACAGUAGCUUCGUGCGAAGCGAUGACCGGAUGCAUGCCUAUAAGCUGGGUCGACCAGCUCCAAAGGUAAAUAACAGCCUCAAUCGAUUUGCAAUUUUGUAAACUGUCAUGCCCUUCUUCUGAUAACCUAUCACCCUUGUCCUGUAGAUCGGAGACAUUGAUCAGGCGACAGUGUAUGUAUCACUGGCGCCCGGUAUGGAGCACCCGACCGGAGUGGAUCCUCCAGUGGACAAAGCUGCUCGGUGUUACCGGUACACCAGCAGUGACGAAGAUGACAACCGACCGGUGCCGACCACCGACGAUAGGGUGGCCGGUAACAGACCGAAUGCCAUGGGGCCAUCCCAAGCAGGAGCGGCGCCAGCUGGAGCAGCCUCAGAUCCGGCGACCGGCCAAGGCUCAGCCUCAGGAAGCCAAGCGCCUAAGCACCACCGACUCCUUCGAGUCAUCGAUGACGACGAUGAAGAGUAAGAAGCAUCCCCAACCCUGGUUCGCAAGCCUCGCAGCCACCUAGAUGGUGCCCCGGCCAAUGGUGGUCGGGUCACCUAGGACCCGCCCACCGCGCACGUCGAGCAGGCGCACCCAAGCAAAGCAGAGGUAGCUAUGGCGGCUGGGCGUGCCAGGCGGAGGGUCUUCACGGUGUCGCAUUGGAGCUCCAACCUGUAAGUUAAGAAAAAAUAGCUACAUUUUUUGCGUGAAGUUUAAGUUCCAUUGUGGUAAUUCUUUAAGUUGAACUUUGCAGCGUCGCCUCAGAUAGUGCCGUUUUGGGCUCGGGGCCAACUGAACUAGUGACCGGUGGGCAGACCACCGUGGGGUAGGCUGCCACAGAGGAGCCCAUGGCACAGCCCGCUGCUACCACGACGAUGGAGACGAUCGCUGAGGACCCGGCCCGAGAAGUGGCCGGCGUAAACGCCCCGAUAAGGGAUGAGAGGGCUACGGGGACUUCCCCGCCGAGUAGUGUAGCGGAAGAGGGGAACAGAAUUUGAACCCCUGCUCGGGUGGAGGAGCCGCUUGUAGAGGUUGCUAGGUAGGAGGAUACUCCCAACCUUGGUAAGGGGCCCAUGAUGCCCUCGACCGUAGUGGGAGAAGUGUCGAGGGCGAGGGGACCCAAGCGGUCUCCGAUGACAAGGUGGAAGAGAUCCAGGGGUGCCCCCACGACGGUCCCCAACAUAUCUAUGUAUGGCGUUAGCGUGGGGACUACUGGGCUGGCCAUGAGGUGAUCGCUGAGGUCGAGGAUGCGAAGAGGGUGGAGCGUGCCGCCAAGCGCCUCAUCAACGAGGUUAAGGUAAGUGAUCUCGCAUUUCGUUAGAGCAUAUAAGUCUUGGAAUGUUCACCGGUUUGUAUACUUGAAAUCCACAGGACGCAAUGAAAACAGCGAAGUGUCGUAAAAGAUGCUUCGACCAGAUUGAGGGCGUGGUCGCCAAGAACAAGGCCCUAAUGUCGGAGGUGGACCGCCUUCGGUUGGAGGCCAAGUAGGAGGCCAAGGAGAAAGCUACUCAGGAAGAGCGUAUGCUGGACCUGACUCAGUGGUUAGCCGAUAAGGACCGUGAGAAGAAGAGUAAGUUAGAUUACUGGCGCUAGUUGUAACUGACGAUGUGUUCAAUUUCCUUGACGAUUAGUCACUGCUUCAGGUCUGGAGGAGGAAAUAGAACGCCUCUAGAAAGAAAAGGACCCACUCAACCAGGAGCGUGCUCGCGCGCUGGAGAGCGAGCGAAAGGUGGGGGAAGAGCUAAAGACCAGGAACCGUGAGCUGACUGGUAAGAUUAGUUUUGACACGCCGAACGUGAAUUCUUUUUAGUGUCAUAGCCUGAGAUUGACUGUCCUUUUUGUUUUGAAACUUGUCGUAGUGCUCAAGGCCAAUGCCAAGAAGCAUGUCGAGGACCUGGUCAAAGACCGGGACUCAUGGGAAACAAACUACAUCAAGAUCUGGAAGGGAGUCGCCCCAGUGCUGGACUUGAUUAGUCCGGAACUCCCCAAGGACCGGCCCCGCACGCAAAAGCAGACUCCGGUAGAAUAGGCACAGCAAGUGUGGGGCUGGCUCCAGCAGUUUGUGAAGGACGCUGGGGAGUUCGCCGGAGCCCAUGUCCUUAGCAUGGUACAUGCUCACCACCCCCUAGUCGACCUGUCCCGCCUGGAGGACGGGUACCCCAAGGAGGUCGGUUCGAAGGAGGCGGAUGACCUUCAUGCCAGCCUGCUGGACUUGUCGUCGACAGUGAUCGGCGACAUCAACCUUUGCUGGACGUCUACUCCCCCUAGUCAACCAGGGUCAGAAAGGUCGACCAGGGAGUUGUUGGAGGCAUCGAUUGCGAGAGAUGGGCGGACAACACCUGCGGCCCCGACCCCUUCGACGGCACCGGAGGCCCGAACGAGCGAGCAGCCCAAGUAGUAGGCUAUCGUUUAGUCCGUAGGCGUAGACUAGGAACCGCCCAGAGGGGCUUUUAUUGUAAACUUUGUUUAUAAAGUUUGUAUUAAAGUCUAGAUUCAAGAACCAUGGGUUUGAGCGCUAUAAAUAAUUUGUGAAAGUGAUGUAUCACUGAAUAUUUUCGGGUACGCUUUGUUGAUUUUAUUGUGUGACUUGUCAAGGACAAACAAUGUCAUUUUUAUCGAGUAGUCUACAUAUAAAGAGAUAUAUGGUGAAAAACAAAAUUUAUUAUUAUUCAUAAGGGAAAAAUAUACAAGUAAGAUGUACUACUUCUUAAGGGUAGAAAUGUCGUAGUUUGUCUAUGUGCUAGGAGUUAGGCAGACUUGUUCCGUCUGGGUAAGCGAGCCUGUAAGAGGUUGGGCGCGUGACUUUGGCGACCACAAAAGGUCCCUCCUAGGGCAUGGAUAGCUUGUGCAUUUGAGUACUAGAUCAGAGACCAUGAAGGAGAGAUCUUUGAUGUUCUUGUUGUAGUAUCGUUGCAUAACUUCGAAGUACUUUGCUGUUCGCAGACAAGAAUAUAGCCGUUUCUCUUCUAUGCAAUUGGUUUCUAGUGAUCUGGCGUGGUCUGCUAAAGAUUGGUCGAAAUGCUCGACUCUUGGAGAUCCGAACACUACAUCAGAGGGGAUCACCACCUCAGCCCUGUAUACCAUGAAAUAGGGGGAUACACCAGUGUUCCGACUAGGCUAAGUUCGGAGACCCCAGUCCACAGCUGGCAAUUCUUUCAUCCACCUUCCUGGUGCUUUGUCAAUUUCCUUGUACAACCUCUUUUUUAAGGCGUCUAUAAUCAUCCCAUUGGCUCGCUCGACUUGUCCGUUGGCUCGAGGAUGAGCUACCGACAUGUACUUUAUGACUAUGCCUCUAUCAUCGCAGAAGUCCCAUAAUGUAGUGCCGAUGAAGUGAGUGCCCAAGUCGGUGAUUAUGCUGAUAGGAACCCUGAAUCGUUGUAUGAUCUGAUUGAGGAAUUUUACAGCCUUCUCUGAAGUUGCUUUGACCAAUGGCAUGUACUCGAUCCACUUGGAGAACUUGUCGACCAGUACAAAUACGAACUUGAAAUUACCAGGAGCGGGUUUGAAUGGCAAAAUUAUGUUAAGACCCCAACAGGCGAAUGGCUAAGAUGAUGGUAUCGUCUGGAUUUCGUGAGAGGGUACAUGAGUCCUUUUGGCAAAGAACUGACAACCCUCAUAAUGUCGGUAUAGCUUCUCGACGUCGGCCGUAGUGGUCGGCCAGUAAAAUUCUGCUCGGAAAGCCUUUCUGACCAGCAUUCGAGAGGCUACGUGGUUGCCACAGGAUCCAGCGUGUAUGUCGUCUAGCAGCUUGAUGCCAUCGUCUUGGGUGAUGCACUUCAACAAGACUUCUGAAUUGGUGUUCUUGCGCAUAAGUCAACCGUAAACCAGUAUAUAGUUUUUGGAUUGUCGAAUGCGGCAUUCAUUCUCAGUCUUGUCUUGGAAUCCUGAACCGUCCAAGAGAUACUUGAUGAAAGGCGCGUGCCAGUCGUCACUACUGGUUGUCGGGGUGACGUCCUGGAUGAGUAGUGCCUCGUUGUUUGGCUUGUCGACCAGGUCAUUUCCGACGCUCGGUUUGUCAAUGUCUUGGACGAAAACACCUUGUGGAAUCUGGGCCUGGGAUGAUCCUAUUUUUGACAGUGCAUCUGCUGCUUGAUUCUUGUCCCAGACUACGUGUAUGUAUUCUAUUCCAUAGAAAUGUGCUUCCCAUUUGCGGAUCUCUUUGUAGUAUAGAUCCAUUUUCUCAUGAGUCAUGUCCCACACCUUAUUUAACUAGUUAAUGACUAGGGUGGAGUCACCAUGAACGUAGAGGUGCUUGACUCCUAAUUCCACAGACAGUCCUGUGCCAUGUAAGCAUGCUUCGUACUCGGCGACAUUGUUGGACGCCAGGAAGAGAAUUCUAAGGAUGUAAUGUAGUUUGUCCUUGUUUGGUGAAACGAAAAGGAUCCUGACGCCAGCCCCGUUGAUGUUUAAGGACCAGUCGAAACACAUUAACCAGUGGUCGGAGAUAUCUGGAGCAGGUGGUGCGUUGAGAUCUGUCCAUUCUGCGAUGAAGCCGACCAAGGCUUGGGACAUGACGGUUGUAUGACUCUAGAAAUUCAAUGAAAAGGGGCAUAGUGUUGGGUAUUCUUAACAUCAUUACCAAAAGUAGACUAAGUUCUCUAAAUCUAGUAACGGUGCUAAAAAUGCCAAACCUAUCCCUCACACCACUUAAGCCAAGUUGUCAUCCCCAGCAUGAUAUAAGAGACGCGGUAUUGAAAUAUGCAAUUACUCUUCUAAAUAAAUAAUGAAUGGGAUCUGCAAGCGCACAGAUUAAUACCGAUGUAGCAUUUUAACCGGGAAGUAUUCCAGGUAUCGUUAUUUAUAUUUUUACCACUGGGAAGGGAUUAGCAAUCAUCACUAUUGAUUAUAGAAUAGAAUAUGAGAUUGAGCAUCUAUCAUUGCAUGUAUAAUUGAGAACAUUUAUCUAACUCUUCAUACAGGGAUAAGUGUCACAUAAAAGAUAUAUGAAAUAAUGAAUAGUGACAAGGAUAACUAAUCUGAUCUAGCCACAUAAUAAAUACGAUAAGCACCUCAAUUAGAUACUCUAGAAAGUCAUUAGCACGGUAUUAGAACGAACUACAAGAAUAUUCCCUAAGUUAUUCUUAACUAUAUAGUCUAGCAUUAUCAUAAUUAGUGCAAGCAUACUUAGCAAACAUUGCGAGACAAGACUACGCCCAUGCAUAGUGAUAUUAGCAAGGUAAAUGAGAAACAUAGCAAUCACUCCCCUAUAAUAAUGUUGCUCUGCCAGCCCAAUACACGAGAGGGGGACUAUAUAAGAAUCAAUGAAGCUGUCACUAUCACGAACUACCCCACGAUCUGGCAUAUUGGCUACAAUCGCAGAUAAAUACGGUAUAAGCACCACGCCUACACAAUAUCUAUCAUUUACCCAUGGAUCCGAUGGAUAAACGCUAUACGAUCCUAAGCAUGUAUAUAGAUCCAAUCUAACUAAGCCAAGUACAUAACUAUGAUAAACUAAGAACAAUAUAAUCUUGAAUAUAAGCAAGUAGAGCAAAGUCAUAAGCAAUAUAUUGAAGUAGAACAAAGUCAUAUUCAUAAUAUUGAAGAACAAAGAUAAUUAGAAAGCAAUUAGAAGCACAAUUAGAGAAUUACCAAGAAUCCUCCUGACAGAUCCGGAAACCAAUCGAAGAUUGACUCCUUCUAGUUCUAAUCCUAUGUAGCUAUGCUAAUCUAGAUAUCUAAUUGAUGUGGUGGCUCUAAUCUUGAUCAGAGGCUUCUUCUCCCUUGAAGAACAAUGAAUUAGGGUUGAGAGGCUCUCUCCUCCAGGGGCCAGGGGGUAUGGUUUUAUAGUCCCUCCAAGUGAAUAUGGGCCAUUGGAUCAAACCGACAUAGAUUGUAUGGUUUAGAUUCAUCCUUUAGGUCGGUGGAGAUCUCCCGCAAAGCAGAGUCCUGAUUGGACUAAGUUGCAGGGCGGGCGCCCAGGGUCAGGCCCCGUUUCGCCUCCGCUUCGGUCUCGUGGCUUCUGGAGUCUUCUAGAUGUAAGAUAAUUGCGUGGUACGUUAAUAUCUCUAUGUAAUCCCGAUGUGUGGGCCUUUCUUCCGUAUUUCCUGAUAACCCCCUGCAGAAAUAGACAAACACCAAAAGUCGUGGAAUUUUGUCAGAUAAAACCCUAAGUCUAGAUCUUGAUUUCAUUUGGAUCCUUUUCUUUAUUUAUUUGAUAAUUAAAUUAGAUACUUAAGGACUGUCAACAAACUCCCCCAAGCUUACCUCUUGCUCGUCCCUGAGCAAGGAUAGACUCAGCUAUGGAUCAUAAGUUGUUGCAAUAUUUUAAAAAAUUGACGGUACACAUGAUUUUAAAUAAGACCUCAUCUCUGAGUUAGAGUAAACUGUCAAGACUUAAAACUUACUUACUUUAUGUUCACCAUGGGACUGGUAACCGUCACUUCUAUCUUGAGUGGGUAAAAGAUAGAACAGUCUAGCCAAGUGCCAUAUCUCUUAUUCUUGAUCAGCUAUAGCUCUGGGGUUUUUGCAGAUUUUCAAAUAAAACUCAGAGAUUCCUUGUAUGAUUCUCUCAGAUCUCUCUUUUGUGGUAUUUCUGGAUCCUUACCAAGGCAGUGAUGGUAUAUGCCUUCUCUCAAGAUAUGUGGUAUUUAUGGUAUAAAGCAUAAUGACAUUGUCUUCUCUCUCACCCUACUCUAAUAAGGCUUUAAUAUCUGGAGCUCAUAGGUGGGAGUUAAAUUAUACAUACUUACAAGACAUUUAUUGCAUAGUCAAACCAUGGAUCCAAAGAAACAAAUCAAUAAGUCAAAUCAAGAUGUGCAUGUGUGGCGAAUGAAUGGUGUAUGGUGAUGAUGGUGAUAACAAUGGUGGAAACAAUGGUGGUGGAAGUCUAAUUCUACUUUGCUCUUUGAGGGGAUACAUACCUUCCUUGCUUUUGAAACAUUAUGAGGAGAAUGAGAUGCUCUUCUUUUUUUUCUUUUCUCUCAGGUGGGUAUCUUGUACCCCUAAUUUCUACUGUCGGACACUUGUCCAUGUUUACCUCUCGUCUCACUUUUUCUUUCGAGGUUCCGAGCACUUGCUCCUUUUUAUUUCCUCGUAUUAUUAUUUCUUCUUCUCUUUUUUUAGAGCACUCAUUUCUUGAGAUAAUAUAGCAAGUGGUAGUAACAAGAUAACUUGAGCAUUUAUUUCACAAGGGAAAACAGAGAUAUUUUUGGUUAUUCUCUCCCAAAUUAGGAGUAGAAUAUUUUUUGGGUGAUUCUGGAGAUGGAUGGAUAUAUGUGGAUGGUACUUCUGGAGUAGAAGUAGCAUAUAUGAGUGAACGUGCA